rnacentral:lncRNA from 1 species
GUUUGUAGCCUUGCAUUGAACUGGCUAGUAGACUCCCAUUUCUGUUGUGUCAAAGGGAUUUCAGCAUUGUCAUCCUUGUCAGUAUCUGAACUGGUAUCAUCCUCAGUAUCAGAGUUUGCUUUUUCAUCUGCAGGAACAGGAUCUGCAACUUUCUCCACAUUAUCCUGAGCAGAUUUUCCUUUAUCUUCAGACUGUGACUUGAUGGGCUCUUCACCAGUCUGAGCAAGAGUUUGUAAAGCUUCCACAGCUACUUUGUCAGUUUCAUCAACUACAUCAGACCUGUAGUUCUCUGGAGCUGUAUCAUGAACAAUGGCAUCCUCUGGAAUUUUCAUUGGAGAUUGAGGAAUUUGACCAUGAUCAGAUAGUGGAGUUUGACAAUCAGACUGAGUUGCUCCAGCUUCAGCAGUAACUGGUUCAUCACACCUGAUCUCUUCAUCUACUGCAGAUGCUGUAGGAGAUGCUUUAGGAGAUGUUGUAGGAGAUAAUGGUGUGGCAUCAGUGAUAGGAACAGCUUGAAGAGGUUCCACCAUCAGAGCUUGAGAAGGAUCAACAGGAAUUGGGCUUGAUGGUGUUUGCUCUUCUUGGAUAGUGAAAUCAGUAAUUUCAGAUUCUGGAAUCUUGGCUCUCUUUGGCUUGUGUGCCCUUCUUUUGAAUCUAGCUGGUUUUUGUUGAGGACUAGACUGAGCAGGUUCAUUGGUUGUUGUAGGUGUAGGUUCAGAGUUUACAUCUUGUGCAGGUUCAAGAUCAUCAAAGUCAUAUGCUGCAACAAGCCUUCUUCUUUUCUUCUGCUUUGGAGGAGAAGCAGCUUCAGAGUUUACUGGGACAUCAGAGUUUGGAGAAUCAGAGUUUACUGGUAUAUCAGACUUUGUCUGUAGAACUUGUGUAUCGACAGAGGUUCUGGUUUUUGUUGUAGAGGGUUGGUCAUCAGACUUUAUUGAUUUGGAUGGUUUUGUAGUUGAUGAUCUGGGUUUUCUGGUGACUGUGGGAGAGGUAGGAUGUUGUGGUUGAGAUUGUUGAGGCUGUGGUUGUGGUUCCUGAGGAAGAUUCAGCCUUGCCCUGAAUGGAGCUGGGAUUUGCAGAGGCCUGAGAACUGGUCUCUUCUCAUCUUUAGAUAUGAGAUCCUUAAAAGCCCUUUUAUGAAGUUUAAAAGGUUUGAUCUCAUCUGCAGCAUCAAAAUCCACUUCUCCAACAGUGGCAUUAAACAACAAUUGACAAAAUCUUGAGAAAUAUAUGACUUUCCUGUUCUCAAGCAUUCUUUCACCAAUAUUUCUAAGAACUAAUCUACCAAAAUCAAAAGCAGUAGAAUAGAUCAGAGAAUACCCGAUCUGUAGCAUGUCCAUUGGAAUAGCAUCCCAGUUUGUAGAUUUCUUCUGGAAAGCUCUGGUAAUGCAAUCAAAGAAAAAACUCCACUCCUUAUUGAGCCAUGGACGCUUCAACUGACCCAGUUUAUCCAGAGAUUCGUAGUACCCCAAUUCAAGCAUCAUUGUUCUGAGAUUUGCAUCUCCAUUGGUAAUGUACGCAGAAUGUUCUGGCAAGUUGAGUGCCUGACGAACUGUUGCUGGAGUAACUGCAUACUCCUCCCCGUCAUAGGAAAACACAAUUGAUGGUGAUCCAUCUGCACCACCAUUGUCAUAUGUACCCGACCUCCAAAAGCUGAUGAUUUGGCUUCCUGAAAGUCUUGCAGGAGCGGUGAGAGCUGUACCGAUGACACUCUGUGCCAAGAAUCGCUGAAAGGGAUGAUAAUCCCUUGGGGCUUCAGCAGUGUCAAGGAUGGCUGCAUAGUUAUUAGGAACGAAUUCAACACCUGCCAAGAUAAAAGCUGUAGUGGCCAUUAGAACAGAGAUUAUGAAAAGAAGAUGUUUGAGGAAGUGUGUAGACGAAGAUUUGAAUUGCAGAGAACAGAGUGUAAGAGUUUUGUUUAGAAGGUGAAUGUAGAGAGUAAGUGUAAAAUUGAAUAAUAAGCAAUAAAAUCUGAUCUGAAAAACUCUUCAGAUUUUGUUGAACUGAGCACGCAUGGGCUUUUUGUUCAAUCAGACACCUGUCAAAAUGUAACUGGUAGAUGAGUGUUAGUGGGAUGGAGAAACGAGAGUAAUAAUCAUGAGUGCAGUAAAACAUGCGCAGUAAUAAAUGCUGAUUACACGUUCUCCUAUUAAAAUGUUUUGCAUGUAAACCCACUAAUAAUACAUCCGUUUGAAACACAUUCUCUUCACAUUCUCUGAAUAUUUGAAAAAAAAAUCAAGAUCAAAUCUCUCGAAUUUUUAAACUCUGAGAUUUAAGACAAAGAAAAUAAAUUUCUGCGAACCUCAGAAUAAAGACAUAAUUUUCAGAAUAUUCAUCAAUAAAUCAGAGUUUGUUCUAAAAUCCAUAGCUCAAUAAUGUGCUUGUGAAAUGUGUGUGUGGUCAUGUUAAAUCAGAGAAUAUAAAAUUUCACAAUUUCGUAAUUAUAAGGUAGACUUUGAAUAAUUUAUUCAAACUCUCAAAACUUAGACUAGGACAUACUCUGAAGAUAAUCAAUAAUCUACCCCCUUUUUUUUUUUUUUUUUUCGGUCAUCAGGACGCUUCUCAGUGUGAGUGAGGCACGACCUUUAAAUAUACUAUUGCAUUAGUAUUUCUCCAGUAAUCAGAGAUUGUGACUGGUCACCAUAGAUUAUAAAAUCUUAGCAAUUACUUAAUACCAGCAAAUGUUUGGUUCUUUCCAGUCACUGUCAUAUUAACAUCUAAGAUCUCAAAGGAGUACCAUGCUUAUUUUUCAGGGGGUUUUGUCUCAGGUAACAAAAACAUCAGAGUUUAUAAUCACUGUCUAGUAUAUGAGAGAAAAUUUAAAUUAAUCAGUCUCACUUAUAAUUAAGAUAUGUGAAGUAGUAGAGUCUCAAUGAUAUCAGCAUGCAUAGUGUGAACUAGUGUAGCACAAAAUUGAGAUCAGGAUUAAGGAACUUAGCUGAGAUUCAUGAUUACUCAUUCAGAACAUGCUUCAUGGUAUCUUCAUAGGUGAUUUGUCUCAGAGAAGAUAAAAAUGAGAUCACUUAUCAAGAUUCAGAGUUUUAUAAGCAUCAGAGAAUAUUAUCAGAGAAUGUUAUCAGAGUAAAGCAAACAGAGUAUAUUAUCAGAGAAUGUCAUCAGAUUUUAUCAAUCAGAGUAUAUCAUGGCAGAUGUGUGAGUAAUACAUAUGGUAAAUUUGACAAGUUAAAUUUUAAAGAUCUAACCAAUAUGUUUACUCAGUUCCUGAUAUCAUUCCUAGCUCAUUCACCAGCCUAGUAAAAGUUGCUUCACUUAAUGGCUUGGUGAAAAUGUCUGCUAGCUGCUGUUCAGUAGGAACAAAGUGAAGUUCAAUGGUUCCUUCCUCCACAUGCUCCCUUAUAAAAUGAUAUCUUAUACUGAUGUGCUUUGUCAGAGAAUGUUGAACUGGAUUUCCUGUCAUAGCAAUAGCACUUUGGUUAUCACAAUAAAUAGGAAUUUUAGAGAAGGAUAACCCAUAGUCCAACAGUUGAUUCUUCAUCCAAAGAAUUUGAGCACAACAGCUGCCUGCAGCAAUAUACUCUGAUUCUGCUGUUGAUGUUGAGAUGGACUUCUGCUUCUUACUGUACCAAGAAACUAGUCUUCCACCCAGAAAUUGACAACUCCCACUUGUGCUUUUCCUGUCAAUUUUGCAACCUGCAAAAUCUGCAUCAGAGUAUCCAAUAAGACUAAAAUCUGAUUCUCUAGGAUACCAUAAUCCCAAUGAUGUGGUUCCCUUGAGAUAUCUGAAUAUCCUCUUUACUGCAAUCAGAUGAGGUUCUCUUGGAUCUGCCUGAAAUCUUGCACAUAGACAUGUGGCAUACAUAAUGUCUGGUCUACUUGCAGUCAGAUAAAGCAAUGAUCCAAUCAUUCCUCUAUAGUUUGUGAUAUCCACUGAUGCACCAGUAUCUUUGUCUAGUUUUGUUGCUGUUGCCAUAGGAGUAGUUGCAGCAGAACUGUCUUGCAUACCAAAUUUCUUUAAAAGAUUUCUGGUAUACUUGGCUUGAUUUAUAAAAAUCCCAUCUUCAGUCUGUUCAACUUGUAAACCCAGAAAAUAACUGAGUUCCCCCAUCAUGCUCAUUUGGUACCUAGACUGCAUGAGCUUGGCAAAUCUUUGACAGAGUUUAGCAUUAGUGGAGCCAAAAAUAAUGUCAUCAACAUAGAUUUGAACUAAAAGCAGAUCAUUACCAUGAUUCAAAUAAAACAGAGUUUUAUCUAUGGUACCUCUAGUAAAUCCACUUUCAAGAAGAAAUUGAGCUAGAGUUUCAUACCAUGCCCUUGGAGCCUGCUUUAGUCCAUAAAGUGCUUUGUCCAACCUGUAGACAUAGUCUGGAUGUUUUGGAUCCACAAAACCUGGAGGUUGUUCAACAUAUACCUCUUCAUCCAGUUUCCCAUUUAGAAAAGCACUUUUGACAUCCAUCUGAAAUACUUUGAAUUUCUUGUGUGCAGCAUAGGCCAGAAAGAUUCUAAUUGCCUCCAAUCUUGCAACUGGAGCAAAUGUCUCAUCAUAAUCAAUACCUUCCUGUUGUGAAUACCCUUUUGCCACAAGUCUUGCUUUAUUCCUUGUAAUGACACCUUCACUAUCAGUUUUGUUUCUGAAAACCCAUUUUGCACCAACUAUUGAUCUGUCUUUAGGUCUUGGUACUAGGGUCCAGACUUUAUUUCUCUCAAAUUCAUUUAACUCUUCUUGCAUUGCUUGAAUCCAAUCAGGAUCUUGAAGAGCUUCCUCCACCUUUUUGGGUUCUGUUUGUGACAGAAAGCAAUGAUGUAAACAUUCAUUUGCUGUAGCUGUCCUUGUUUGCACACCUGCUUCUGGAUUGCCAAUUAUUAAAUCAGGUGUGUGAGAUUUUGUCCACUUCCUAGCAUGUGGAAGUUGACCAUUUUCAUCAUUGGAUCCUCCCCCUUGAUCCAUGCUCUCCUGAUUCUGUUGAUUAUUCUCUGUAGCUCCCCUAAGUUUGUGCUAUCAGAGUUUGAAUCAGUAUUCUCUGAUGAGUUUGAGUCAGCAUUCUCUGAGGAAUCUUGGGUAGAGUCUGAAACAUUCUGAUGCUCCCCCUCAGCAAGUGCUUCAUCAUCAUGAACUUGUAAAUUUUCAUCAGAGUUUGCUGUAUUUUGUUCACAGUCAGAGUUUGACUGUUCAUCAGAGUUUGUCGAAUCAGAGAAUAUUUCUUCAUUUUCAAAAUGCAGUUUUUCAUGAUCAUCCAUAUCUGUUAAGCCCAUAAUUUUCUUGUCAUCAAAUCACACAUGUAUGGAUUCCAUGAUCACCUUGGUUCUUAGAUUGUAGACUCUGAAGGCCUUUGUUGUCAGAGGAUAACCUACAAAAAUGCCUUCAUCAGCUUUUAAAUCAAACUUGGUAAGCUGUUCUGGAUGAGUCUUCAAUACAAAGCAUUUGCACCCAAAUAUGUGAAAGUACUUCAGAUUUGGCUUCUUUUUCUUCACCAUCUCAUAUGGGGUCUUGCCAUGCUUAUUGAUCAAGGUUGCAUUUUGAGUGAACAUGCUGUUNNNNNNNNNNNNNNNNNNNNNNNNNNNNNNNNNNNNNNNNNNNNNNNNNNNNNNNNNNNNNNNNNNNNNNNNNNNNNNNNNNNNNNNNNNNNNNNNNNNNNNNNNNNNNNNNNNNNNNNNNNNNNNNNNNNNNNNNNNNNNNNNNNNNNNNNNNNNNNNNNNNNNNNNNNNNNNNNNNNNNNNNNNNNNNNNNNNNNNNNNNNNNNNNNNNNNNNNNNNNNNNNNNNNNNNNNNNNNNNNNNNNNNNNNNNNNNNNNNNNNNNNNNNNNNNNNNNNNNNNNNNNNNNNNNNNNNNNNNNNNNNNNNNNNNNNNNNNNNNNNNNNNNNNNNNNNNNNNNNNNNNNNNNNNNNNNNNNNNNNNNNNNNNNNNNNNNNNNNNNNNNNNNNNNNNNNNNNNNNNNNNNNNNNNNNNNNNNNNNNNNNNNNNNNNNNNNNNNNNNNNNNNNNNNNNNNNNNNNNNNNNNNNNNNNNNNNNNNNNNNNNNNNNNNNNNNNNNNNNNNNNNNNNNNNNNNNNNNNNNNNNNNNNNNNNNNNNNNNNNNNNNNNNNNNNNNNNNNNNNNNNNNNNNNNNNNNNNNNNNNNNNNNNNNNNNNNNNNNNNNNNNNNNNNNNNNNNNNNNNNNNNNNNNNNNNNNNNNNNNNNNNNNNNNNNNNNNNNNNNNNNNNNNNNNNNNNNNNNNNNNNNNNNNNNNNNNNNNNNNNNNNNNNNNNNNNNNNNNNNNNNNNNNNNNNNNNNNNNNNNNNNNNNNNNNNNNNNNNNNNNNNNNNNNNNNNNNNNNNNNNNNNNNNNNNNNNNNNNNNNNNNNNNNNNNNNNNNNNNNNNNNNNNNNNNNNNNNNNNNNNNNNNNNNNNNNNNNNNNNNNNNNNNNNNNNNNNNNNNNNNNNNNNNNNNNNNNNNNNNNNNNNNNNNNNNNNNNNNNNNNNNNNNNNNNNNNNNNNNNNNNNNNNNNNNNNNNNNNNNNNNNNNNNNNNNNNNNNNNNNNNNNNNNNNNNNNNNNNNNNNNNNNNNNNNNNNNNNNNNNNNNNNNNNNNNNNNNNNNNNNNNNNNNNNNNNNNNNNNNNNNNNNNNNNNNNNNNNNNNNNNNNNNNNNNNNNNNNNNNNNNNNNNNNNNNNNNNNNNNNNNNNNNNNNNNNNNNNNNNNNNNNNNNNNNNNNNNNNNNNNNNNNNNNNNNNNNNNNNNNNNNNNNNNNNNNNNNNNNNNNNNNNNNNNNNNNNNNNNNNNNNNNNNNNNNNNNNNNNNNNNNNNNNNNNNNNNNNNNNNNNNNNNNNNNNNNNNNNNNNNNNNNNNNNNNNNNNNNNNNNNNNNNNNNNNNNNNNNNNNNNNNNNNNNNNNNNNNNNNNNNNNNNNNNNNNNNNNNNNNNNNNNNNNNNNNNNNNNNNNNNNNNNNNNNNNNNNNNNNNNNNNNNNNNNNNNNNNNNNNNNNNNNNNNNNNNNNNNNNNNNNUUUCUAGAAAAUCAUUCCUUUCUUUACACUCAGAGUUUCAGAUUUUAAUCUUUCAUUCUCAAAAGUCUGAUCUCUAAAACUGAUAUGUAAAGUUUUAAGAAACAAUCUUAACUCAGUUAUAUCUUCAGUAUCAAAGGCAAGAGUAGAGUGAGGUACCUUAGCAGGAGAUUCAGUGUUUGCCAUUAGAGCAUAAUUGACUUCUUCUUCUGAAUCAGAUGUAUCUGUCCAGUUUCCUUUCUUGGUGAUAAAGGCUUUUUCUUUUUCUUUCUUGGCUUUCUUGCAUUCAGAUGCAAAGUGACCCUUUUCACCACAGUUGAAACAGGUAUACUUGUCAGCUUUUCCAGCUUUCCCUUCCUUGCCCUCAUUCUUCUUGAAGUUCUUCUUAUCAUAAACUCUGUCAGAGUUUCUGUCUUUUCUUGAAAAACUUUUGCCUUUGUUGAACUUUUUGUAGGCCAACUUCUUGAAGCUUUUCACCAUCAAUGCUGCUAACUGCAUCAUCUCAUCAUCACUUUCUUCAGAGUCUGAGGGAACAUCAGAGUUUGAGUCAUCAGAGUUUGAUGAUUCAAUGUCAGACUUUGUGACAUGAGCUUUUCCUUUGCUCUUAGCAGCUUCCUCUUGAACUUUCAGAGCAACAGACUUUUGAUUUUCCUCCAUGACGUUUGCUCCUUUGCUCCAUUUCAAGUUCAUGAGUCUUCAGUCUUCCAUAAACAUCAUCAAGAGACAUUUCUCCAAGAUCAAGAUUGUCUCUUAUUGUGGUGACUUUCAAAUCCCAUUUUUCAGGAAGAGCCAGAAGGAAUUUGAGGUUUGAGUCUUCAAGAUCAUAUUCCUUGUUCACCAGAGAUAAGUCAUUCAAGAGUUUGACAAAUCUGUCAUACAGAUCUGUCAAGGACUCACCAGAUUUUGAGUGAAAGUNNNNNNNNNNNNNNNNNNNNNNNNNNNNNNNNNNNNNNNNNNNNNNNNNNNNNNNNNNNNNNNNNNNNNNNNNNNNNNNNNNNNNNNNNNNNNNNNNNNNNNNNNNNNNNNNNNNNNNNNNNNNNNNNNNNNNNNNNNNNNNNNNNNNNNNNNNNNNNNNNNNNNNNNNNNNNNNNNNNNNNNNNNNNNNNNNNNNNNNNNNNNNNNNNNNNNNNNNNNNNNNNNNNNNNNNNNNNNNNNNNNNNNNNNNNNNNNNNNNNNNNNNNNNNNNNNNNNNNNNNNNNNNNNNNNNNNNNNNNNNNNNNNNNNNNNNNNNNNNNNNNNNNNNNNNNNNNNNNNNNNNNNNNNNNNNNNNNNNNNNNNNNNNNNNNNNNNNNNNNNNNNNNNNNNNNNNNNNNNNNNNNNNNNNNNNNNNNNNNNNNNNNNNNNNNNNNNNNNNNNNNNNNNNNNNNNNNNNNNNNNNNNNNNNNNNNNNNNNNNNNNNNNNNNNNNNNNNNNNNNNNNNNNNNNNNNNNNNNNNNNNNNNNNNNNNNNNNNNNNNNNNNNNNNNNNNNNNNNNNNGCCUUAAGGACUGGAACUCUAAAAGAUGAAGCUUGUGAUUUUUCAGACAUGAUUGUGAUUAAGAUCUCACUGUAGUUAUCUUAACAGAGCUGGCUCUGAUACCACUUGUUAGGUCCUAUAAACUCACUAUAUAAGUUGAUAUAGUGAUCACAAUCUGUAACACAGUAUGACAAUAUAAGAGAUUGAAAGCAGUAAACUCUUAUAUUCACAAAGCUUUUUAUGGUUACAAAAACUCUCUCAGUGAUUUAUAUUGUAUCACCAAGAGCUGCUAGGGUUCUUAACAAUGUACUCGAUAACUCAACUCAUAUAGAGUAACCCUAAUCUGUGUUUAUAUAGACACAGUUACAAAAUCAAUCUCUGAUUUGAUAUCCUAUAAAUCAGCUAAUAAAUCUAUCAAUCAAAGAUUGCUCCAGUUUUCUGUUUAGUUUCCAUAGUCAGCAAAUCACUCCUCAGCUUCUAUCCUUCCUUGAAGUAUAUCCGCUUCUGAGCUCUUUCCACGUGUAAACUCUGUCGAGUCUUGACUAUGUAAACUCUGAUCAGACUUUAUCAAACUCUGUCAGACUUUACUAAACUCUGAUCAGCUUCCAGUUUAAACUCUGAUGAUUCCUGUUCUAAAACAAACCUUAAGAACAUUAGUAAUCAUCAAUUAUAUCUAACAAAUAAAAUGUAGUUAAAUUAUAUACACACACACCACAAGUAAGAGAAUUCGAUUAGUAAUAUAAAAUAUUGAUUAGCAUAAAUAUAUAACAAACCACCAAAUGUAGGGGUAUAUGGUAAUCUCAAGAUUUAGGAACCAUAUGAUGUAUGUUGUCAUUACUUUUAUUCCUAGCCCCCAGCUUAUGGUCAAAUAUGUAUGGAGAUGUGAAGUAGUAGGGAAACAAAUACAAUACCAAUAGUUCAACAUAUGGGGACGUAGGCAGAUGCUUAGUAAGAUAAGCCUAAGAACAUAAUAAAACACAACUUCAUUCAAUAAAAUUAAAAUUUUUUGAAGAUUUUAAAGUGGAUUACACAAAUAUAUACAAUAUAUACAUAUUUUCAAGAGUUAGUUAAUCACAUAUAUACAUGAAAAUCUACUUUGAUUGAUGUAUCCUUUAAACCCCAUGUGCCGGGCUUCGAUCCCGCGUCUCCUUGUUGUUGGAGUAACAAAUUCAACCAUACAACCAACUGAACUAGGGAGCACCGGUGUUUAUUAUCUUCGAAUAUAUGUAUAUACAUAUAAAUCUAAGUCUGUUAAAUAUUAUUACCAAGAUAGAUUAAGGUGCGCGCAAAAAAUUAUAAUUUCUUUUUCUAUAUAUGUGAUAGUAAUUAAUAGUAGCUAACAAUAUUGCUUAUAUGAGUUACUAAAAACUUUCUUCAAUAUUUAUGAGCUAUUUCUACACUAUCAUUAUAAUUUUAACAUAUUUACUUAAAUCCCAAUAUGCGGGUCACUAUCAAGCAUUGGCCUAAGCAUGUAUAAUAAGAAGGGUUGUUAAACAAAUUUUAAUUAAAAUAAAUGUAUUUGAGGAUUCUACGCUUCAAGCGUGUACAAGGAAUACACUUCACCCAAUACGUGAAGCGUCACCUAGUUUUAAAAUCCCAAGUACUAGAGCAAUAAUAUCAUGAAAAUGACAAUGCUCAAUGAAUAAGCAUCACUGAAUACGUAAAACGUCACCGAGUUUUAAAAUCCCAUGUACUAGAGAAACAAUAUCAUGAAAAUGACCAUGCUCAACAGAGAAGCAUCACUGACCACAUUUAGUGUCAUCUAGUACAUGGAUUCUAGUACAAUAAUUUAGGCUAACUCCUAAUGAAAAAGGCAUCCCCAGCUAAAGUGUCAAAUUCAUGUAUAAGAUAAGAGUAAAAUAUAGAGCGGACGAAUAUAAUCAAUUGAUCUAGGGAGGCUAUGGUUACAAAUUAAUACUAACAAAGAAAGAGUAAUAUAUGGUGCUCUGUUUGUUAUCCGGCCAAGCACGACAUCCCUUUAUAACAAUAUUUGCUCCGUGAUAGUUGAUCGAUCGUAUCAUGGGGGUACCGGGAUGGAAAUAUGACUAGAUUAUCUGGUGGAGGAAUAUAAAUUUAGAUUAUAGUUUUAUAUUCUUCUUUUUAAUGAACUACAGGAAAAAAGUUAUUUGGUUGUUUUGAUUGAUGGAAUAUGUUACUGUUAGUUUCGAUAUUUAAGAUCGGUACAGAGCUAGAACUCACUCAUGCCGAGUAUUAAUUAUUCUUUCUUAUCACAAAUAUUAGUUCCUAUAUACUUGCUAGGCAUUUAGUUGCUCCUUCUUGCCAUUUUUUUUUUUGAAAUCUUUUUUAAAAAAUUUAGUGUGAGAAGGAUGAGCACUUUAGCUAGUAAAAAGAAAACCAAGAGCACACAGGUCACGCCUAACAUCAUGAUGAGUAGCUUUGUGAUUCAAUGUAUAAGCUCGAGGAUCCAUAUCAGUGGCUCUGCAAGCAUCGUAAGAGGAGGAGAAACUUUUAACCUAUAUAACAAUUUUAGUUAUAAUAAAAAAACUUUAUGGUUGUGAGGCAUUCCAUCAAACAACACCCGAGCUAACAGCAAGUCAAGAUCACCCGCAUAAAACUCAAUAAGCGCAGUACCAACAAAUUAAAAGGAUCAUCACAAAACCCCAAAACUACAACUUAGGCAUGCACCAAGAACCCAAUUUUCCUACAAUCUUGCAUUGAACACGCCUUGAUCAGAGGCAUAAAAGUAUAAUUAUUCCCUAAAAACCUACAAUUACAAUUACAAUGUGAUUAGAGCAAAAAAAAUAGUGUGAAAUUACAAUUUUACCCCUGCCUCUGUUAUAGUUAACAGUCAAUUAAAUGGAAUGUGGUCAAAGGGGUGUAAAUCGAAACGCUUUUCAAACUUUAGGGUACAUACUGCCCCAAAAAUUGUUUGAGACCAAAUUGAAAAAGCGCCUAAACUUAAAGGGGGCAAAGUGUAAUCACUCUUUAAUAUACUACCCAACAACAUGUAUACUUUAACAUUACAAGUUUUGAGAAAUUAUAUAAAAUAUAAUGUGAUAUGGGUCUGAAAUUGGCCCUAAAAUUAUUGGGUUAUUUUGAGCCCGGGUGCGAUGAAAGGCCUGAGUGUUAGGCCCGGGUUCUGGGUUUAUCACCCAAAAUUCGUAGCUAGCAGAUUGAGGUUAUAAAAAGCCCGUUGGACAUCCACGUUUGGGAAACGUGGGCUGCCCAAUCUCAAGGCACGAGCCCCCAGCCCGGUCAGGGCCCAGAAUUCGAAUCCUAGUCCUACUAGGAGUCUGACUGACGAGUCCAGGACUUCGAGUACAAGAACUCUGAAUUUCAGAGAUAACUAUCUAGAGUCCUAGAUAACCUCUAGCAGCUUAAGAUAAGGAUCAGGGAUCAAUCCUAUCCUAUCUCUGACUCAAACACCUACUUCUACUAGGUCUCUAACACCAGGGAUCCUAAUUCUAAUCAGUCUCUAACCCUGAUACAUCUAUAUAAAGGGCUCUACCCCUCCAAACUAGAACUACGAUUUUGACUUGAUUCUUCACCUAGCUAAAGAUACGUAGGCAUCUCGACCCCGAGAACAGUAAAAAAACACGAAGCUCACCCCUCAGGUUUUGAUCCAUAAUAUUUGGCGCCGUCUGUGGAAAGAAGACGACAACCAUGGUAUCCACCAGAUUACGCUCAGAAAUUCAUGCUCCUUCAAUCGGAGACAACACCGCAACCCAGGAUCCACCCUUUUCUCAGGUCACCACUGGAACCUCAAAUCUCGUCACCACCACAACACCAGUCAUGUUGACCCUAGCUGGCAGUGGCACAACCACCGCUGCUCAAACCUUAUUUCCAUUGAUUUUGGGCACGGUGGCCCCUAUGACUAGUGUUGUGGCAACAACCACUGAUUUUGGGACUCAUUACUCAACAGUCGUGACGACCACAAGAGGACCAACAAAUGAGUAUGUAGUUUAUACAGACGACUCCUCUGAAGAUUCAGAGAGGGACUAUGAUAUUCCCCCACGAAGAAGGAGAGACGGAAACCAGAGCCGAGGCUCCCAACACAACACUAGGCAGAUUGCCUUUGACCAUCUCAAAUGGAAUUUUCCCAUGCUUAUUUAUCAGAGUUGCAUUCUGUGUGAUGCAAGCAGUUUGCACAGCUUCAGCCCAGAAGUAAGUUGGCAAUUUUGCACACAACACUAGGCAGAACAACCCCGAGUCCCGUCGAACUACGGACCAGGAGUAUGAAGCCAGGAUUCGAGCUUUUGAAUAGGAGAUAGUUCGGUUGAGAAGAGACAUGGCGGCACAGUAGUCCAGGCAGCAACCGCUCGAACCUCGACAAAGGACUGAGAACCCUCAAAACUCAGGUAUGAAUAGAAUUCACUUGUUGGCUGCAGGUGAUCCAGAUAACCCGCUCCCCCCAUUCACCGAGGAGAUCAUGGCAGCAAGGAUUUCUCGAAAGUUCAAAUUGCCCACUAUUAAGGCCUAUGAUGUAACGGGUGACCCCGCGAAUCAUGUACGAACCUUCAUGAAUGCAUUGCUGUUGGAAUUUGUCACGGAGGCUAUCAAGUGUCGACCCUUUUCCCAAACCAUGAGCGGGAUGGCACAACACUGGUAUAGCCGACUACCCCCUAACUCUAUAUCCUCAUUUGGAGAUUUGAGUCGAGCUUUCAUACGCUAGUUUAUUGGGAACAAAACCCACACUAAGAGUUCAGCUUAGAGCACCAAUUCGACCGUGAACCCAUCUGGGCUUUCGAGCACCAACCCUGUCCCACUAUUUUUUAUUUUUGAAGCUCCGUCAAAAAACAUUAACCAAUACUCUUUAGGUUUCUCCUCUUCUUUAGGUUCCUCUACCUUACUCUCCUGCCCCCGACUUCCUGGUUGUCAAUGGUGCAUUCAACGAGGAAGUCAGCUAGAGCUUGAGCCUUGAUUGCCACCCGUGGUUUGUAUCGAAUUUCGAAUUCCCCAAGCUCUACUGCCCAUUGAUUAAUCUCCCACUAGCCUUCGGGCUAUGCAUUAUGUUCUAAAGGGGUUGGUCUGUCAAGACUUCAAUUUUAUGAGCUUGGAAGUAAGGUCUCAGGUUUCUCGAAGCUGUGAUAAUGGCUAAGGCAAACUUCUCAAUCACAGAAUAGUUGAGCUCUACUCCAUGCAAAAUCUUACUAACAUAGUAGACGGGUUUCUGGAUUUUUCGAUCCUCACGUACCAAGACCGCACUCAGUGCUUUCUCAGAGAUAGCCAAAUAGACAUAUAACGUUUCUCCAUCUACGGGCUUUGACAAGAGUGGUGGCUCUGUCAUGUACUUCUUCAACUGCUCAAAGGCCUCCUGGAUCUCACUUGUCUAUUCAAAAUCCUUAACUUUCUUCAAAGCCUUAAAGAUGGGCAAGCACUUAUCCCCGGACUUCGAGAUGAAACGUCCUAGUGCUGCGAUUCUUCCUGUUAACGACUUCGAGAUGAAACGUCCUAGUGCUGCGAUUCUUCCUGUUAACUUUUGAACAUCCUUUAUAGACUUAGGAGGCUCCAUAUCAAGGAUAGUCUUUAUCUUAUCGGGGUUGGCCUCAAUCCCACAUUUUGAGACCAUCAGAUCUAAAAAUUUUCCAGACCCAACUCCAAAGGAACACUUGACUGGAUUCAACAUCAUCUUAUGUGUCCUCAGGACUUCAAAAGCCUCUCUCAGGUGCUCAAGGUGAUCAUCUUUGUUCAAGCUCUUCACUAGCAUAUCAUCAACAUAGACCUCGAUGAUUUUUCCAAUCAGAUGUUUAAACAUCUUAUUUUUAGGCGUUGCUACGUGGCUCCUGCAUUCUUUAAACAAAACGCCAUAACCAAAUAACAAAAGACACCAAAAUCAGUGAUGAAUGACACCUUAGGAAUUCGUCCUUAUUCAUUCGGAUCUGGUUGUAUCCACUAAAGCCAUCCAUAAAGUUUAACAUCUCAUGCCCAGCUGUAGCAUCGAUCAGAGUAUCUAUUCUUGGGAGAGGAAAACAGUCCUUAAGACAAGCAUCAAUCAGAUCUGCAAAGUCUACACACAUCCUCCACUUUCCAUUAGCUUUCUUGACCAUGACUGGGUUGUCUAGCCAUUCUGGAAAUUGAAUUUCCUCUAUAAAACCUGCUUCCAAAAGCUUAUCGACCUCCUGUUUUAUGGCUUCUUGCCUCUCAGGGGCAAAAUUUCUCUUCUUUUGUUUUACGGGUUUUCUAUCUGGGUUCACAUUUAGCGUAUGUGUCAUAAAGAGGAGAUCGAUCCCUGGCAUAUCAGCAGCGGUCCAAGCAAACACAUCCCGGUUGUUCCUCAAGAAUUUCACAAAUUCGGAUUUUAUAUCCUUGGGAAGCGACACCCCUACAUAGGUCGCCUUCUCGGGCUCAUCAGGAUAUAGGGAGAUGGGAACCAAGUCCUCAGCAGGUUUCCCUCUUCUUUCCUCUUCCUCUCGGACAUCCAAGUCCUCAAUUGGGUGAACCUGCCCCCCCCCCCAGUCCCUCCGGAUUUCAGAGCCCCCACAUAAUAACUUCUAGCCAUUUUUUGAUCUCCUAUUUCUUCUCCCACUCCGUUCUUGGUAGGGAAUUUGAUCUUCAAGUGGUAGGUGGAUGGGAUUGCUUUAAAAACAUGUAUCCCUGUCCUUCCAAGGAUAGCAUUGUAGGUUGAUGAAGCCUUAACGAUUAAAAAAAUUCAACAUACAUGUGGCCUGUCUAGGCUCGGUGCCUAUUGUCAUGGGUAGUUGGAUCAUACCUUCAAUCUUUAUCUCCACGUUAUUAAAGCCGUAUAUAGGCAUAUCUGAAGGUGUCAAUUGUGAAUCAGAAUAUCCCAUCUUUUCAUAUGCAUCAUGAAAUAAGAUGUCUACCGAGGCUCCACUGUCAAUGAGUACCCUUUUUACAGACGAGUUUCCAAUCACCGGGGUGAUUACCAAAGGAUCAUCAUGGGGAAAUUUCACUCUGUCAAGAUCUAAAUUGUAGAAUGCUUGAGCAAACUUAACUUUUACCCUCUUCAGGGGCUCUCCAACAAUGCACAUCACUUCACGAGCAUAAGCUUUUCGUGAGUUACUAGAUAGGCCUGCUGCGGUCGGUCCUCUAUAGAUUACAUUGAUCACAGGCCCUCUAGGCUGGUUUCUCUUAUCCUUAUCAUCGUUGUCUUUUCCACGAUUAUCAUUGUCACGGGGAUUCCUAUCUGCAUCCCUAGUAUACCUGGACAACUUGCCUUUCCGGAUCAAGAACUCAAUCUCAUCCUUCAACUACCGACAAUCAUCGGUCUUAUGUCCCGUAUCCUUAUGAAACCUGCAGUACAAGUCUUUGUUUCUCUUUUCGGGGUCAGUCCUAAUAGGCUUCGGCAAUCGAACACUUCCCUCUUUCUCAAUUUCCAUCAGGAUCUGAUUCCUAGGGGCAUUCAGCCUUGCAUACUCAGUGAACCUCGACCCUGCUCUCUUUUUGGUGGGGGACUUAUCACCAUCCCCUGUCUUUGAAUACUUAUUUUCCCCUGUCUUUAGGCUUUCCUCAUCCUUCCUAUACUUCCCGGCCCACUCCUGGAGCUCAUUCAUGUUGUCAGGGGACCUCUUGGCUAGUGAUCGGCGGAAAUUAUCAUCCGUGGUUCCUUGAGCGCCUCCUUAGUGAACCUAUUCAUAUAGUCUCUAAGGGAUUCGUUCUUGCCUUGGUGAAGGUUCAUCAACGAGGCUGAACUCUUAGCGUGGGUCUUACUCCCAAUAAACUGGCCUAUGAAAGCUCGACUCAAAUCUCCAAACGAGGAUAUAGAGUUAGGGGGUAGUCGACUAGACCAGUGCUGUGCCAUCCCACUCAAGGUUUGGGGAAAAGCUCGACACUUGAUGGCCUCCGUGACUGGUUGCAACAGCAAUGCAUUCAUGAAGGUUCGUACAUGAUUCAUGGGGUCACCCGUUCCAUCAUACGCCUUAAUAGUGGGCAAUUUGAACUUCUGAGAAAUCCUUGCUGCUAUGAUCUCCUCGGUGAAUGGGGGGAUCGGAUUAUAUGGAUCAUCUGCAGCCAACAAGUGAAUUCUAUUCAUACCUAAGUUCUAAGGGUUCUCAAUCCUUUGUCGAGGUUCGGGCGGUGGCCUGGUGUGCCGCCAUGUCACUUUUCAACUGAACUAUCUCCUGUUCAAAAGCUCGAAUCCUGGCUUCGUACUCCUGGUCCGUGGGUCGACGGGACUCAGGGUUAUUAUGCCUAGUGUACUGCUGGCAGCCCCGGCUCUGGUAUCCACCGCUCCAUCUUCGUGGGGGAAUAUCAUAGUCCCUCUCUGAAUCUUCAGAGGAGUCGUCCGUAUAAACUACAUACUCAUCUGUUGGUCCUCUUGUGGUCGUCACGACUGUUGAGUAAUGAGUCCCAAAAUCAGUGGUUGUGGCCACAACACUAGUCCUAGGGGGCACCGUGCCAAACAUCAUUGGAAUCGAGGUUUGAGCAGUGGUGGUUGUGCCACUUCUAGCAAGGGUCAACGUGAUUGGUGGUGUGGUGGUGACGGGAUUCAAGGUUCCAGCGGUGACCUGAGAUAAGGGUGGAUCCUGGGUUGCGGUGUUGUCUCCGGUUGAAGGAGCAUGAAUUUCUGAGCGUAAUCUGGUGGAUACCAUGGUUGUUGUCUUCUUCCUACGGACGGCGCCAAAUGUUAUGGAUCAAAAAUCAAGGGGUGAGCUUCGUGCUUUUUGACUGAUUGUUGUCUCCGGUUGAAGGAGCAUGAAUUUCUGAGCGUAAUCUGGUGGAUACCAUGGUUGUUGUCUUCUUCCUACGGACGGCGCCAAAUGUUAUGGAUCAAAAAUCGAGGGGUGAGCUUCGUGCUUUUUGACUGAUCUCGUGAGUCGGAACUCAGACGGGUCCUCACGAGGUGCCUACGUAUCUUCAGCUGGGUGAAGAAUCAAGUCAAAAAACAUAGUUCUAGUUUGGAGGGGUAGAGCCCUUUAUAUAGAUGUCUCAGGGUUAGAAACUGAUUAGAAGUAGGAUCCCUGGUGUUAGAGUCCUAGUAGAAGUACGUGUUUGAGUCAGAGAUAGGAUAAGACUGAUCCCUGAUCCUUAUCUUGAGCUGCUGGAGGUUAUCUAGGACUCUAGAUAGUUAUCUCCGAAAUUCAGAGUUCUUGUAGGACUUUUGGAGUCCUUGACUCAUCAUUCAGAUUCCUAGUGGGACUAGGAUUCGAGUUUUGGGCCCUGGCCAAGCUGGGGACUCGUACCUUGGGUGAUAAACCUAGAACCCGGGCCUUAUACUCAGGCCUUUCAUCAAACCCGGGCUCAAAAUAACCAAAUAAUUUUUAGGGCCAAUUUCAGACCCAUAUCAUAUAGUAUGCAUAAAAUAUGUAUCGCGUAACACGUAAUAUAUCUUGUUCUUGUUAAUAUGAUUUGAUAAUUUAAAUAAGAUUAAAUAAGUAUAUUAUAGAAUUAUAAGGAUUCGCAUAAAUUUAGUUAUAUAUAUAUUAUAUAUAUAUUGGCAAAUGAUCAAAUACAAACCAACUAUUAAAUACAAACUAAAAACCAGUUUUCCUACCACUAUUUAUAAGCACAGGUAUCACUAAUUUAUAUUGCACUAAUCACUGUUUUCUAGAGGUAUAUUAACAGCAACUUUUAUUAUUUAAAAUUGAGAAAAUCUACUUACCUAAACUAUUGAUGAUUGAUUAUGGAUGAUCAAUUUCAAUCUUCAGAAAGAUUCUUGACGGUAAAAAGUCGUAGGAGAAGGUGUAUGAUUGUGGUAAUUAGUCACUAGUUUUGGUAAGUUACGACGACAAGUGUUUGUGACUAUUGGUGAUGGUAGGCGAUGGUGGAAAGUCAUUAUAAAAACGGAUGACAAUGGUGGUAAAAAUUCUAUUAUUAUAGUUCGGGUGAAGAUGAUGCUCUUAUACGUUGCAUUUAUAUGUAUGCAUAUAUUUGUAUUUGACAGAUAUGCUAUAUAGAAAAUAGUGAUGUGUGAUGUACAAAACAGUGAUAAUUGCAUUUAAUAAUAGUGAUUAAAAAUUGGGUUUGAUUAUACAAAUAUAUACAAUAUAUACAUAUUUCAAAGAGUUAACUAGUCACAUAUAUACAUGGAAAUCUACUUCACUUAAUAUGUAUCGGAACCCGUACCGGGCUUCGAUCCCGCGUCUCCUCGUUGUUGGAGUAUAAAUACAACCAUACAACCAGCUGAACUAGGGAGCACCGGUGUUUAUUAUCUUUAAAAUAUUCAUAUAAAUCAUAUCUAUCAAAUAUUAUUAUCAAUAUUAAGGUAUCCGUAAGAAAUCAUAAUUUCUAGUUCUAUAUGGGUGAUAGACAUUAAUAGUAGCUAAUAAUAGUGCUUGUAUGAGUUAUUAAAAAACUUCCUUCUAUAUGAAGUAUUGGCCAAGCAUGUAUAAUAAGAAGCUUUGUUAUUUUUUCUUUUAACCGGAAGAAAUGUAUUUGAGAAUUGUAAGGUGCAAACAUAUACAAGGAAGAUACACUUCACCCAAUAGGUGAAACGUCAUUCAGUUUUAAAAUCCUAAGUACUAGAGCAACAAUAUCAUCAAAAUGACCAUGCUCAAUGAGAAGCAUCACCCACUACAUUAAGUAUGAUCUAGUACAUGAAUUAUAGUAUAAUAAUUUAGACCAACUCCUAAUUAAAAUGACAACCCUAAUUAAAGUGUCCUAGCCAAAUUCAUGAAUAAGAUAAGACUAAAAGAUAUGAAAGCCUCGAGGAAUUUUAUGAUGUAUAGGAAGGACCUAAAGGUAUGCAAAUGAUUAAUAAAUACUGUCAAGGGUGUUUCGGUGUUGACUUAUCCCGCCCAAUAAUAAAUAAAAUAGGCUAGUCUUCUUUAACUUGCUUAAAAGACUUGAUUGAUGUUGUUUCUUCCUUUGUAAAGUAUGUGGAUAAUUUACCGUUCAAAGCGUUCCAUCAAAUUUUUUUUAUUACAGUUAGCUUCUUUUGUUCAAAGAGCCACAUUAUUUGACGUUAAAUGACAUAAUGGUCGUGUCCCUAAAUAUAUUUUAAAUUUUAUGAAUAUCCACUGACUCAUUUAUUGGGGAGAACUUAUUGAAUAUAAGUCUAGUUUCAAAAUUCUCAAUUUGUUUUUCGAUCAGUGUUAUAAUGAUUCAGAUGACAAUAUAAUUGAAAAUGGUCAAUUUGGGAAGGUCUAUCCAUGGUAGUGUGUAAAGAAAUAUCCGUAGUAGGAUUGUAAUAUAUUCAGAUAUUGUUAAUAUCAAACGUUGUGAUAAAGAGUGUGAAUGGGAUGGUCUUUCAAUGUGUGAACGGGAAACCCAUUGGUGAGUAUAAGUUUGUAUUAGUAUUAUUAUUAUUACUUGUUGCUGGUGUAAUAAGUAGUGGUUGGAUGGCGUGGGGACCUGAAUAUGUGAGAUACGAGUCUCAAGGGUGCCUCAGUAUUAGUUAUUUCCGAAAAAGGAUUCAUUUUAUCUUCAAAGUCUUUGGCAUCUACCACAUAAUAUAUCAUGUCUGAGUUAAUAUGAUUUGAUAAUUCCUACAAGAUUAAAUGUUAUAUAUAUAUAUAUAUAUAUCAUAAAUUAAAGAAUUCAAAUGACAAAUAUAGGGUUAUAUAAAUCUCAAAGAUUGAGGAGGAUAUGAUGUAUGCAGUCCUCGCCAUCAUUCGUAGAUCCUUACAUUUGCGUAAACAUGUAUUGGUAUGUGAAGUAGUACUCUACACAUAAAAAAAAUUAAAUACUAAUAGUUCAACAAAUGGGAAGGUUCGCAUAUGAUUAGUAGGAGAAGCUUGAAAACCUGAUAAAACACAACUUCUUUCAAUAAAAGUCAAGAAACGUGACCCAACAAUAAAAAUAAUUCAUAAAUUGAAAAUUAAGUCAAGAUGAAAAAUGGCACAUGAUUGUCUCUUACGAUGUUAAAAAAUGCCAUCAAUCAUGACCACAUAUAAAUAGUACAAAAAAGUCAUCAUGAAGGCCACAAUUAGCAUUGUCUCAAAAAGAUCGAUUAUUACAAGUAAAUUUCAAAUUUAAUAAUAUUUAAAAUUUAAAGAAUUAGUCGCAAUUUAAACUGAUAUUACAAAAUACAUAUUUAUUAUAAGUAAGACUAAUUAGGGAGAAACUAAAUAUAGUCAUUAAACAUAGCACAAAAUAAUAACACUAAAACUAAAACUAAUGCCUUUAAAUAGUCAAUCACAUUAAAUUAUCAUUUCAAUUUCUAUCAACAGACAAAAGAAACUGUUGGUCCUAGGAUGUAUUGCAUAAGGAGGAGGUUGAAUAUGCAAUACUGAUAUUGUCAAAUUUUAAUUCAACAACAAAUAUAAGAUUUAAAUUUAUGAGUAGAUUACGUUGUAAGCUUGAAGAACACAGUAGUUUAACUUCACAAAAUAAAUGUAUUAUUUAUUUCGUUGUUUUGCUACAACCUCAAGAAAGGUUUUUUGAGCUUCAGUUCUCUCAAGAAUUAUAAUGAUGUUUGCACUCCUAUGCUGUGUUGUGGUCUUUCUUGUGUCUUAGAACUAUUAAUGUUUUCCUAUAUGACUAUCGGAGUUUACACAUCACAGUCAUCACGGGUUCUGCAAGUCUACAAGUAGAUUAUUCUUUUGCCGCUACUUAUAGAUUGCAGCCCAUGUGACUUUCCUAAAAUGCUAAUCAAACAGAUAUUAAAUUUUAUGAAAAUCAACCUAGGAUACAAUCUUUUUUGAUCUUUACAAAUCCCAGUGGAUAGUGACUUGACACCUUUCAUGUGCAUAUCCACGACUUUGUGUAUUCUUGAGCUUCAAUUAUAGACUUUGCAGGUGUGCUACUAAAACAGCUUUAUGCAACAUCCCUGAGCUUGGAACGUCUUUAUCAGCCGCAACGUUGAUUUGAUGAAGAAUUAAAUCCAACCCCAUAUCUCCGAUGACAGUGACAUAGAGACACCAAUACUUGUUGUGAAAUAAUGAUUAGGAUGACAAUGACUUCCCGUGAAAGCUUACGUCAGGAUAUCCAAGUGCUGUAUUGCGUGCUCUGCGGAGUUUCAACCAAUGUUAUUGGUAGAUACAUAUUAUCUGUCUGUGACCUGCAACUGUCUGUCUUUUGUAGUACUGUUGUCAACCGUUUGACAAUAGCAUUCCGUUAUUCUUAUUGUCAUUCCAAUGUGCGUCUAGGGGCAUGAAGAAUUUAAUGAACUUUUUCCAACAACAUUCUAAUUACAUGACAGUUAUGAAAACACUACAGAGACAUACUCUUGCCGUGACAGUAUCUUCUACUUAUAAAAAUCAAAGUAAAUAUAAAUGUUAAGUUGACUUCUAUCUAUAUCACCCAUAAAUUCUAACAAAAACAAAUAUAACAGUGAAUAAAUUGAGAAGUAGAUGAUUUAUUUUUUUCAUAUUUCAAAUCGAUAUCUUCAAUCAUGAAUUUCAAGAGAGGAGAUGGACUAUAAAUAAAAAAACAAAUGAAGAUAUGAAUCAUAUAGAUUAAAACGUAUAAAAUAGAUCUAAACAAUAAAUCUGAACACAUAAAUAUAUACAUAAUUCAAAUUUCAGUCAUCACAAUAUAACAUAACACUACAUCAAUAUCAAAUUCCUGUAUACUCAAAACUAAAUCACAAAUAAUCAAUGUAUUUACAAUAUAUAUUGAAAGAUCUACUGAUGCACGUAUAAUAAAAAAUAAAUAACAAAUAGUUGAUGUAUUUACAGAACAUACUGAAUGACCAGAUGUAAGUAAAAAUAAAAUGAAAGAUAAAAAAUAAUAAAAAUAGAUAUGAUAUAGAAUAUUGCAACAAUAUAUACACAAGAUACGAAGAUUAUGGUAAAUAUAUGAAUAUUUUGAGUUCCGCAUCUCUCAUGUCAUUGUACGUCCAUCCAUCUUUUCCCUUAUAUUAUUGUUAUUAUUAUAACUAGUGUUGCGAAUAAGCUAGAUAUAAUAAUACCAUUAUUCAUAUGACAACUUGCUCAAAGAAAAUACUAAAAUGACAUGUGUAGUAGAGUAAUGAUGGUGAUGAAACUAAUUAUUAGCAAAUAUAUAGUAAAAGAAAACAUAAUUAUUGAAUACUUCUAUUAGUGGACUAAUAUUAAAACAUGUUUACUUGACUGAUUAAGGACACAUACAGUAACGACACAUACCGGUAAUGCUUUAGCCAUAGUUAUUAAUUAUCCUAUUCUUAAUUAUAUGACUUUGGAUUUAAUCGGUCUUAAGAAAUUGAAACUCAUAUCAAAUUCAUUAAAAUCAUGUUGAUAUCUCCUUAACUCAAAUGUAUAGUAUAAAUAAUAAGUUGAGCAACUGUAGUAAAAUCAGUUUGGAAUUUACAACAUUACUCCCUCCGUCUUUAAUACUUUUCCUGUUUGCAUUUAUCACAUUUGUCAACACACACUUUUAAUGGUUAAUAUCUUUAAUUUCAUAUUAAUAUUAAAUAUAAAAAAUUUCACGGUAUUAAAGUACUCAUAAAUACGAAUACAACAAGAUCACUCACGAUUAUAUCUAGGCUUAUAGAUUAGAUGUAAAUUAGUAAUUUGUCUCAUGUUAUAAAUAGAAUGAUCACAAUCUUUUUUGUCUUGUCAUCUCUAUAAAACAACAUGCAAAUAUUUUCACAAGCAUCAAUUUUGUUGUAUGAUAAUUUCAAUUCAUUUAAAAUUUUCUUCACCUCAUAGUAAGUUGAUGGUGGUGUGUGUUUUGGUGGGAAAAGAUCGCCAAUAUAUAAUCUCAAAUAACAAAUUAAAUGAUUUCUCACUACAAUGGUAUUCAUUUUUAAAGUGCAACAACCUUGUGGUGAAAGAUAGUUUUGUGUAGUUGGUGCUUCCCGGAUAUAUUGGUGUUUCACAUCUACUAACUUCUUUGUAAAAUGAGGAAGCAUUUGCAUUAGGUGGUUCUUCUACUCUAUUAGUACAAGCAUGGGUUUUACUAGUACUAAAAGGUUGAGCUCCAACAUCUCUUAGCAUCGCUUCCAUGUCUACCAGUUUUUCAACUUCUCCUUGAACAUGAUUUUUUUUCCAUUGUAAUGACUCCCCAUGAGAUGUCCAAAUUAUAUAACCCAUACAAAUUACAUUAGCUAUCAAAUGAUAUUUAACACUUUCAAUAGUCUCCCAUAUAACAUUUUUACAAUUAACAUAUGGACACUUCAUCAAACCUUCAACUACACCUUUAUUCUCAAUUGCAUAUUUUAUAAAUUGCUCAACAUCCAAAUUAUAUUCCGGAGCAAGUGUUAUUCGGUUAUCUUCUAAUCGACGAUGCAUCUAACUAUACGAUCAUUGGUCGACAUUUACAUAUAUAUACAAGCAUACACAAGCAACUCAAAACAAUAUACACACAUAUACACACACACAAACAUUUUAUACAUACAAGUUAACCUUCAACUUCAAUUUCAACUAAAAAUUAGAAAAAUAUACAUCUAAGUUUACCUUCAACUUCAAUUUCAACUUCACCUUCAAUUUUAAAAUUACACAUUUUAUACCUUAUAAAUUAGAAAAUAUAUUAAAAAAUGGAUUAGUUACCUUAAAAAUGUUUUCUCUUCCACAAAUGUUGGUGAGAGACCAAAUAUAUACUCCUUUUGUCCCAUUUUAACUCAUAUUUGACUUUUUAACACUUAUAUUGAGGUGUAAAAAAAUAAUAUCUACACUCAAUAAAGAUAUUCAAUUUUAUAUCAUAUAAAAGUUUAGAUUCUAAACUUUUAUUUGAUAUAAAUUUUAUAAAAACAAUUAUGUUUAGAUGUGAUUUUUUUAACACCUUAAAAUAAGUGUAAAAAAGUCAAAAGUAGUUAAAAUGAGACGGUGAGAGUAUAUAUAUAUAUAUAUAUAUAUAUNCCGAGUCGACCCCAAGGUCGGGCGUUGGGCUGGGCGCCGGGGUCGAGUGUGGGAAUUCGUAUGUUGGCUGUAUGGAUCCUAAAGAAGCUAAGCUGAUCAGUCUUGGGCUUAAGUGGGUAAGGAUGACUACAAUUAGUCUGAGGGCGCAGCAAGGGCGCCGAGUGGACGCAGGCGGACACUGGGUUAAAGGGCAGGCCGCACAAUACUUGGCUCGACUCCAAUCCCACUUAAGCCCAAGGCUGAUCAUCUUAGUUUCUUUAGGAUCCAUACAGCCAACAUACGAAUUCCCACACUCGACCCCGGCGCCCAGCCCAACGCCCGACCUUGGGCUCGACUCGGGGUGCCUUAGCGCCCACCCCUACUCGAGGUUCACACCGGGUCAAAGCCUAUUACAUGGGAGUGUAUGUAUAUAUAUAUAUAUAUAUAUAUAUAUAUAUAUAUAUAGAGAGAGAGAGAGAGAGAGAGAGAGAGAGUCUUGCUCCAAUACAAACCAAAUUAGCCUAAAAACUAAAAAUCAGUUUCUGGUCAGUUUUUUAUCACUAUUCUUAACUACAAAAAUCACUAAUUUGUACAUAACAUAUCACUAAUUUAUAUAUAGCAUAUCUCGCGAAUAUAAAUAUAUAUAUACACAUAUAUGCAACGUAUAUGACCAUCAUCUUCACCUGAACCGUAAUAAUGGACCUCUUACCAUUAUUACCAGACAUUUCUAUGACUUGCCACCAUUGUCUACCAUCACCAAUAGUCACAUACAUUUUUCAUUAUAACUUACCAAAACUAACGACUGCUUACCACAUACCAUCAUACAACUUCUCAUGCAGCUUCCUACCGCCAAGAACCUUCCUACGACUGAAAUUGAUCAUCUAUAAUCGAUUAUGAAUAGUUUAGGUAAGUAGAUUAUCUCAAUUUUGAUAAUGAAAAUCGCUGCUAUAUACUGUACAAAAACAGUGAUUAGUGCAGUAUAAAAUAGUGAUACCCGUAGUUAUAAAUAGUGGUAGGGAAACUGGUUUUUAGUUUGUAUUUAAGAGUUGGUUUGUAUUUGAUCACUUGUCUAUAGGGUCCUACUCCAAUACAAACUAAUAAAAUAUAAACUAAAUACAAACCAAUUCGAUUAAGUUGAAUAACAAGGAUUUUGGGACUGGGGAUGGACACCAAGAUGGGCAUAGACGGGGUCUAACUGAGGCCUAGUAGGAUCGGGAUGGGGCCUAGUAGUACCAUGGUGGGACCAAGUUUGGCUCUUAAGGCUGUUUGGAGCCUGUCCAGGGCCUGUGUGGAGCCGUGGCGAGGCUCCAGGCCCGAGAUGGAUUGAGUGUCGGCCCGAGGUGGGUAAUGACAUGUAGGGGGUGGGUGAUGACAUGUAGGGGGUGGGUGAUGUAUUUUAGGUAUAGUUGUCUUGAUUUGUAUUUUAGUGCUUUAUAUUUGAACAAUUGUUUGUAUAUAUAAUUAUGCUACAUAAGACUUGGUGACCGACUAUAACAAUUUAAAAAGUAGCAAAGUCAUUUCGCAACGUAUUUCCAAUUGACGUCAGACGGAAAUCAAGUUACGGCUCCACCUCAUCCUCACUCAGCCAAUCACCAGUCGACAACAAGCUAAAAGCUGGCGAAUUAUUUUAAACGCAAUCGAGGCAGUAGGAAAUGACCACAGACAGUCGGAAUUGUGUGUAGCGGAUUUAGUGACGCAGCAUCCAUGUCAUCUAAAGAGCGUUUGUAAACGGGACCCACACUCACUUAUACCGACCGGUAUAGGUCGGUCGGUUGCAUCGGUCGUAAAUGAUCGACUCUUUUUUCUGACCGACCUUGUUUGGUCGGUAAGUUGGUCGGAAAUGACAGCUUUUUGACCACAAUGGUAGUUCGGUUUUUACGGUCGGAAAUGAACACUUUGCAGUAUUGUAGAUUACACUUUACCCAAAUUUAUUAGUUAUCCUAUUCUUAACUAUAUGGGAUUGGAUUAAGUCGGUCUUAAAAAUUGAAACUCAUAUCUAAUUCAUUAAAAUCAUGGGAAAAUAUUCUUAACUCAAAUGUAUAUAAUAAAUAAUCACUUAACUCAAAUGUAUAUAAUAAAUAAUCACCUGAUCAACUGCAAUAAAAUCAAUUUGCUCAUUCAUAUAUAGGUAUAAUUACAAGUUCUAUCCAAAACGAAUCUACACAAACAGAAUGAUAGGCCAUUAAUAUACUAUAAUUAAUCGAAGCUGCUUUAAACGUAACUUAUUUAUAUCGUAAAAGUACACCAUACGUAUCACAGAUGCCACGGUAUUACAACGAUACAUGAAUAUCAAAUCAAUUAUCUUCGCGUAUUGCAUACGAGUUUCUUCCCAGAAAGGCGCUUUAAAUUAUGCCCAAACAUUCUUUUUUCGUAAUAUGCAUACAAUUUGAAAAGAUGCAGUCCAAAACAGUAUUUUAAAGGGAGCAUAUGCCCGCAUUAUAUGUCUAAGCAACAGCUAGCAAACAGAUGACCCAGAUCAAAAUUAUCGGGGAUUGAAAUUCAAAAUAGUAGUCCUCCCGUCUUUUAAUACUUUUAAUACUAGGGACAAUAUUAGAGAUCAAAUUUAUUGGGGGUUGAAAUUCAAAAUCUCACUUUCUGCUUUUUUUUGAUAUUUUUCCUGUUUGUCAUUAUCAUGUUGGCUAACAUACACUUUUGAUCGUUAGUAUUUUUAAUUUCAUAUUAAUAUUACAAUAUAAAUAAUUUCACUGUAUUAAAAUGUUGAAUAUCAAUCCAACAAGAUCGCUCACGAUUAUAUCUAUUCUUCUAAAUUAUACGUAAAUUAGUAAUUUAUCUCAUGUAUGAACAGCCCGACCUGACAUAUGAAACAAGAAAAGUAACUCAGAGAUGAAGGAAGUACUGAUUAUUCUCGAUCAGCCACAUUUUAUAUGAUAUAGUGAUGUUUAAAAAUAAUUAAUAUCACCGAUUUUUCUGAAUCAACCCGGUCUUCGUCACGUGUUAGCCUAUUUCCGUCACUGAUCGUUAAUAUAAUAACACUAAAAAGUAGAGCGAAAUAAAAAUGCAAGAAUUUUGGAUGAACGUGACGCCAUCUUCACCAGUACUACGAGUCUGCAAUAAGCAACACGACACGAUCGCAUGCACUAUCUCCAUUAGUGAAUAAGAAUUCGACACACACGUAAAGCUGUGAGGAACCAAGUCCCUUUUUUCCUCUUUAUAUCUUUUUCUUUGACACCAAUAAAGAUGGAUACUAUAUUUCUGUCAUGCAUGAAUGAAGAAGAAUCGGAAGAAGAGACGUAGAGAAACAGAGUAAGUAUUUUUUAUAUUGCAACAAACUAGAUCUAAAUAGUGGCCAAUAGUUGCACAAGAGGAUCGAACACCCAAGUGGACGAUAAUAAUCUCAACCUUAAUCUUUCUAUUAAUAUUUUGGUAUCGUUCUUACUGUAAUCUAUUCAGUUUUAUUUCAUGGUAUCACCUGUUUUUUUCGUUACAACUCACCGGUGAAUAUUCCUGCUUCGCUCUUUACACCGUGAUCACCUCAGAGCAAAGAAUUCAGAAAAUGUUAGUACUUAUUUCAAGAGUUGAUAAUAUUUUUGACUUUUAAGAUUUUUAAAUUCAAACCAUGAAACCGCAAGAAAAGCAGAUAAAGUUGACAUUAAAAAUUGUUUCAAAUUUGAUACCAUCUAUGAUGUAAAUAUUUCCACUUUCAAUUGGCGCCAAAAAUUUUAAUGUUUACAAAACAAAACCAAUAAAUUUUAACAUGUUGCUGCAAAAGAUUAUGUUGAAUUUAGGGCAGUUUGAGAGUUGUGGAUACUGUGAGAAUAAGUGCUUUUGCAAUGAGAUAGUUAUUUUUAUUUUGACAUUUGUAUAUUUUGAGUUGUAAUAUAGGAAAAUACGAGUUUUGUGAAUUGACAGUGAAAUACGGCACUUCGAAAAUCAAUUUUAUAAAACAACUUAAUUCACCUAUAUUUUGAGUUGUAAUAUAGGAAAACACGAGUUUUAUGAAGUUGAUAGUGAAAUACGACAAUUCAAAGGUUUUAAAAAACACGAAGAAACGAAUUUUUUAUAAAAUAUAUUCUGAGCAAAAAAUUAUUAUAGAGAGAAACUACGUACUUUUAAUUCAACAACUUAAUUCACCUAUUUUCAACAGGAAAGAUAAUUACCAAAAUUUCAAAAAAAGAAAGAUAUUAUUGUCUCCAACUGUGAUUGAGAUCUUAGAUGUCAAAUUUAUAACAUAAUAUUUUAUGUUUUUAACUAAAAGACUUGCAACAAAUGAAAUUUAUUUAUUUAUUUAUUUCUUUGCCAUAGCAACAAAUGAAAUUAAAACCCCAAAAUUUAAAGGGUUGGCUGCAAUUAUAUAUCCUCCCAUUAUAGUUACGGUUAUAUACAUUAUCAACCAAUUAGUGACGAAUAUUAGUGGACAAUUAAUUAAACAAACACUUGCGUCUAACAUUCACGUUCGAAGAAUUUCUAACCUAGAACUGUUUAAUUAAUAAAGACGAGCCUGGCCCGAACACAUCUCCUCCACACAAGUGUAUAGAAUAUGACUAAUGGGUGAUAUAAAGUCAAAUAAUUAUAUACAUACUAUUACAUGUAUAUUUUAUAUACGUGUUAAUCAAUAAAGUUGAAAUGACCUUACCAAAUGACACUAAUAUAUCACUGAAAUAUAAUCUUGACAUAAAGUUGAUAGUGAGAGGGCUCCAUUGGGGUCUAUAUUAUGAGUCGCACAAUCUGCUUCUCGUGCUCCCUUCACUAUAAGUUCUCAAUAUUUACUUGUAUUUGCAUGUGAACCAUCUUAAUUCUAUUAACCUAGCUAGCUAGCUCUUUCUCUUCACUUUCGAGUCAUUCGAAUUCUGCCAUCAAAAUGAUGCCACUUGAUCAGCAUGAUCAAGCGACUACUCCUCGCAGUCCGAUUAGCAUUCAAGUGAAUAACAAGCCGGAUAACAUCUCGGUUUAUGCGGAGCCGUUUGAUUCGGCAGGUAACACUAGGCCGUGCGGGGAAGAACAAGUUUCGAAUCAACAGACUGCAUCGCCAGUGGGGGUUUCGGUGCUUCGGACGUCGAGAUGCUCGGUUACACUAAAGGUAUGCUAAUUGCUAAGAUACUGUGUAGGCCCCUAUGUUAGGAUAUAAUAGUCGUUUGUUAUAUUUCUAUUUACAAAAAGAAAUUUUUAAAAUAAUAUUGACAAAUAUGUGGUCGAAACUCUUAAAAAUAUGUGAAAAACAGUCGAGAGAUUAAUAUAUCCUUAGAGGGAGUAUUUGCGUGCUCGUGUAUCGAAAUAUUGUACCGAAAGGUAAUAAUUUUGUGAUGAUUUAAUUGUUGGUGCAGUUUGAAGAUGUCGGGUACAGUAUCAAGCUGCCGGGAGACAGUGGAGGGAAGUACUUAGCUUCGUGUAAACCUAAUAAACAUGCAAUCAAAACUUUACUUAAUGGAGUGAGUGGAAUUGUUAAGCCCGGAGAAUUGCUAGCAAUGCUUGGUCCAUCCGGGAGUGGAAAGACCACAUUACUAACAGCUCUAGCCGGAAGACUGCCUGGUAAGAUCUCGGGCAAGAUAACGUACAAUGGAGUACCCUUCUCGAGCUCCAUUCGUCACAAAACAGGCUUUGUCACUCAAGAUGAUAUCUUAUAUCCGCACUUAACUGUGUUAGAAACCCUAACUUAUGCUGCUUUGUUAAGGCUGCCGAAAACUCUGACAAAAGAAGAGAAAAUUGAACAAGCCGAGUUGGUCAUAAUGGAGCUUGGAUUAACAAGAUGCAGGAAUAGCCUUGUUGGCGGGCCGCUGAUCCGGGGAGUUUCUGGCGGGGAGAGGAAAAGGGUUAGUAUAGGGCAAGAGAUGCUCGUGAACCCUGGAUUGUUGUUGUUAGAUGAGCCUACUUCGGGACUGGAUUCGACCACUGCUCAACGGAUUGUGAUGACAUUGAGAGGGUUGGCACGAGGAGGGAGAACUGUGAUUACCACAAUUCAUCAACCUUCAAGUCGGUUGUUUAGGAUGUUUGAUAAGGUACUGGUGUUAUCCGAGGGUUCUCCUAUUUAUAGUGGUAAUGCUGAACAAGUGAUGGAGUAUUUCAGCUCCAUCGGUUAUGCUCCUGGCUUUAAUUAUGUGAAUCCUGCUGAUUUUCUGCUCGAUCUUGCCAACGGUAUGAAAACUUUUUCAAGUUAACUUCAUAAAAUGAUAUACAUGAAUUAUGUAAUAUGAUAUACCUUAAUUAAGUUGUGAUUAAGCUAAAAACUGAUAGAAUUAUUGUUCCGUACUUAUGAAAAUGUUAUGGAAAUACGUAGAAUAAUUAUUCUGCACUUUCUUAAGAGUCCCAGGACAACUAUUUAUAUUGUUCUCGUGCUAAAGCUGCGGCCUUAAAUAGAAUACGAACAAACACAUCAAAUUUUUUAAAGUAAGGUGAAUCAUAUAUAAUGGACGGCAUCUCAGCUACAAUAGGCGUACAUGUAGCCAUAUCCAUAAAACAGCUAAGUAAAGUAACAGGGAAACACAGUGAUCCUUGUGAUUUUUGAGAAGGCGAAAGCUCAACUGUACAUAGUGGUCCAGACACUCGUAGGACCCUAUUUUAAAGGAAAGAUGUAUGUGAUCAUUUUCUUCUUUUAAUAUGAGAUAUUUGAGGCAGAUUAUAUGAUUAUGCUUCAAACUUUAUGCUUUAAAUGGGUGACUGCAGUCUAGUUUCGAAUUUAAGUGACCCUGCUUUUCUACUUUCACUCUUAUUUCUUCCUCUUUCUGUCUGCCAUAUAUAUAAUUAAUAUUAUUAUCUCUUUGUAUUAGUUAUUAUCGAAUUUCCUCUAAGGAAAUAAGGAAUCAUUUAAACAGUGCCAUGAAAUAUGAGCUUAUAUGAUAAUGUCUUUAAUUUCAACAGUGUUAAAUUAAGUUUUACAGUGCUUCAUUGGAUGGGAUAGAAUGAAUUCUAUGUUAUUAGCUAAUUAAGGUGUAUGUAUGGGGAAAAAAUUUCAGGUGUGGCUCCUGAUCUAAGACAGGAUGAGUCACCAGAGUUUCAUGGCAUAAAAGAUCAACAUGAUGACCAGAAUUUAAUUAAAAAAUCAUUAGUUGGAUCUUACAAGAAGAGCAUCUAUCCUUGCUUGAAGGAAGAGAUUGCUAGGACUUGUCAAGACCCUCCUGGAGGACCAUUAGCCGCAAGAAGUAAGCACGUUCACGAACUCUAUAUAUUAGGCAUAUAUCUAAAUCAUUAACUGAACAAUUAGUAUCAAUUCCAUUGGUAUGUGUAGUCAUAUAGUUCUAACUUCUAUCUGUCCCUGCAGGAUCAGAAAAUCAAUGGACAACCAGUUGGUGGUUGCAAUUUAAGGUGUUGCUCGUAAGAGGUCUACGCGAAAGAAAACAUGAAUCUUAUUCAGGUCUUCGCAUUUUCCAAGUCAUGUCUGUUUCCAUUCUUUCGGGCCUUUUAUGGUGGCAUUCUGAUACUUCCCACAUUCAAGAUCAGGUAACUCCAUUGUUGCAACUCCUACAGGAUAUAUUAUUAUGGUCUUCUGUCGUGACAAUAUUAUUGUUUCAUAAUUUGACAGGUGGGACUUCUCUUCUUUUUCUCAAUUUUUUGGGGAUUCUUCCCUUUAUUCAAUGCCAUAUUUGCCUUCCCUCAAGAAAGACCAAUGCUAACAAGAGAAAGAUCUUCAUCAAUGUACCGUCUCUCCUCCUAUUACUUUGCACGAAUAGCUGGAGAUUUACCAAUGGAACUGAUCCUCCCAACCAUCUUUGUAACGAUCACAUAUUGGAUGGGAGGCCUCAAGCCAUCAUUUCUCACAUUUUCACUAACACUGUCCAUUAUACUCUUCAAUGUGUUAGUUUCCCAGGGAUUAGGCCUCGCCCUCGGAGCCAUUCUGAUGGACCUUAAAAAAGCCACUGCCUUAUCUUCAGUGAUCAUGCUUGUGUUCUUGCUUGUUGGUGGAUACUACAUUCAGCAAAUGCCGGUAUUUAUAGCAUGGAUGAAGUACUUGUCGUUUAGUCACUACUGCUAUAAGCUUUUAGUGGGAGUCCAGUACACAAAAGAUGAAGUUUAUGAGUGUGCACUAGGAGUGCAUUGCAGAGUGCAAGAUUUUCCAGCAAUUAAAGUUGUGGGGAUUGGAAAUUUGGUCUGGGACGUAGCUGCUUUGACUGUUAUGUUGAUUGGUUUCAGGGUUUUGGCUUAUAUAGGCCUAAGGAGAAGCCAAUUUCAUUAACUUGGACUUUUAUGUUGUAAUUAGUAAAUAAAUACUUGAGCUAGAUUGAUUAAGUAAAUUAAUCUAUGAGCUGAAUCAAGCUAAUGAAGUUGAUCAAUAUAUCUUGACAAUCGCUUGCUGAUCACAUUUUCUUUUCUUUUCUUUUUUCCGUAGAAAAAGUAAUCUCACUGUAAGAAAACAGGCUAAAACCGACCACUUAAAACUGACCGCACCAUUAUUAGAAAUGGAGCCACGUGGGACCACAUUUCCGAGAAUCCAAAUUAGCAUAACCGACCACCUAUACGGUCGGUUAUAACUCUUAAAAACGACCAAUUUGCAUAACCGAUCAGGGUUCAACCAACCACGAUUAGCGGUCGGUUUUAGCCUUAUAACCGACCGAUUGUCGUUAUAACCAACCAACCACGAUUAGCCUUAUAACCGACCGAUUAGCGGUCGGUUUUAGCCUUAUAACCGACCGAUUAGCGGUCGGUUUUAGCCUUAUAACCGACCGAUUAGCGGUCGGUUUUAGCCUUAUAACCGACCGAUUAGCGGUCGGUUUUAGCCUUAUAACCACGAUUGCCGUUUUUGCUUGAGUAGUAAGUUCGAAAAACAUCACAAUUUCAAUAAUCGUUGCAAGUAUGAUAAAGCGUCACAAGUUUAAUCCAACAUAUGUAACCAACUACGGUGUUUGUGAUGAACAUCUGUCGUAAAUUCGGAGAGAAAACCUUAAACUUACGAAGAAUCAAUUGUGCAAAUGCAGGUAGGGUGAUUAUGUAAUUUGAAGGAUUUGCAUUACUCAUAUAAUUCUUCUAAAUUCGUACUGAGGAGCAUUUCUCAAUAAGAAAUGAAAUAUGCAAAAUAAUAAUAUAUAACAAUAAAGUAUUACAAACAUAGAAUUAAAAAGAACCGGAUUUGCACAUGCAGCUGAGAGCUGACAAGAAGAUUGGCUGAAUAGUUGAUAUUAUCAACUAGGAGCAGAGAAUUGGAUGCUUGGAGAAUAUUAUUGUUUCAAUGGAACUACCUAAGAAGAUAACUCAUGUUAAUAUUCUAUGCUCAAAAAAUGCUUCAGUACAUCAUGUAAUUGUUCAAAUUCCUUCAACUAGUGGGUACCUGGAUGUGUAUAAAUAGCCUAUGAAACUAGCUAAAUAAUGCAGUUGAGUUCAGCAAUUUGAAUAAUCUCUGGGUUCCAGCUAAACAAAAGAGUUUAUUCAAUGGCAUCAAUGAAGGCUGAAAAACCUGUUGGAACUUCACUCUUUGGACAAGCCAAGAAGGAGCCUGCCACUGGCAAAGCUACAACAAGUACCACCACCAAAGCUCCGGCUUCCAAGCCAUCCCCGAAGAAAGCUGCCCCAAAGUCUCCUGCACCCAAGAAGAAGGUAACAUAAAAACAGUCGUUAUCCAAAAGAAAACUUACCAGAUACACAAUUUCUUUGUAUUUGGAGUCAUUAAUUAGAAACGCCUAACUAUAGUCUCUGUGUGAAUUUAUUAGGCAGCACCAAAGGCGAAAUCAGCAGCAGCAAAACAGUAACAAGAAUCUGAGGGGAUUGAUAUGUUCUUCUCUGGGAGAGCAUAUGAUGCAGUUACAUAUAUGUCUUUAUCUUUCAAUGUCAAUCUAUAUGAAAUCAAAAUCUGUGUGGCCUAUAUUAUAGUCAUAGCUUAUUUGGGCUAUGCUUUGGUGAAAUAAGAUCUACAUGAUUGACCACGAGUAUUGAUGGUAGCAGUGUUAGAUAGUAAAAUCAGUUUGAAAUAUAAUCACAUAACUUGCAGCAAGAAGUGCAUAGAAGAUAGAGCUAAUCAAUAAAAUUAAUCACUUUUGGGAUUGGUUAUUUUUAUCACUAUUAACAAGAAAAUAUUCAGAAAAUUUUGUAACUCAGCAAAGUUCGGCAUUAUUAUAUAAAUAUGUUUAUUAAUUUAUUUAUUGAUUCACAUGUGAACAAUUUAUAUGCCACAAUACAACAAUUAUUCAAAACUAUUUUAUAAUACCCAGAUUUUCAAUGUUGUAUUAAUAAAUUUAUAAGGUGAUUAAUAAAUUUUAUAUAUUUUUAUUCACUGAUUGAUACAAUGUUUUAAUAAUUAAUUCUUAAUUUCAUCUUAUUAAACCAAUUAUUUAUUAUAAUAAUAGUGUGACAUAAUUUCGUAACUAAAGUCUACGUAGGGUGAUGUAAUUGAUGUCUUUUGAUUUUUCAAAAAAAAUAAAAAUAUCUAAAGAGUUAAUCAUUAAAAUAAUUUAUUUACAUCAAUCCAUCCAUUAUUCAAGUGAGGGGUGUAAAAACUGACAGCUUUAAAUGGAUGACUAGAUUUCUCCCAAAGGCCAUAAUUUUUUUUUAAUCAUACCAAAAUUACUCGAAGGAUCUAGACAUUAGUUGACAUCAUCACCUUAUACAGGUGUAUCUAAUCAGUAAAUAUAAUAAUAAAUAGAAAAGUUAUAUUUUUUCAGAAGGAUCCAGAAGGAACCGGAAUCGAGUAUGCCUUACUUCAAAUGUAACAACUUAUAUAAUGGUGUUGAGCAUCUAUAGCAUCGUCACCUCCGAUCCCCUUCCCCCUCCCCCAACCUAAUAGUUGUAAACAAAAUAUUUUGUGUAGCUAAUUUCAAAUUGAUGAUUGAUCAAUUGCCUUGUAAAUAAGAUGCCAGCUGACCACAUCAUAUUAUUCUAAUGUCAAAAGAUAGGUUGGUACAUUCUAUUAUUUAAUAAGAUUUUAAUAUGUUUGAGAGUUCUGAUUUACAAUUUUCUCUCUCAAAUCAGAGACCACAAAAUUCACACCCAUCACUAAAUCAUCUAAAUUACACCCAUCAGUGAAACUCACCAUGUAUCUAUCCUAAUAAUCCCGAAUAUUCUUUAAAUCAAUAUUAUAUUGAUCUAUGUCAUCUAUAUGUCUAAGAUCUAUCAUUUCUCGGGCAUAUAUCUAUCAUCAAUAGUGAACCGUACAUAUAUACAUACACACAUAUCAUAUAUGUUUUCAAUUGUAAAAACAAGAAAACUUUCAUUCAAAAUAUAGAUCUAGAUGAAGGAUAAUUAUUAACUGCUUGAUGUGCUGCCAGAUAUCAUCAAUACAAUACAAGAAUUUCUGGUCUUCUAAUACAGAGAUUGGGGUCAUGAGGGGAAGAUCAUUAAGGAGCCUUCGUGUGUGCGGGGGCCCAUCUCAUCUCUACAAACAUUCAGGUAAGUCAUUUUUCCAUCUUUAAAAUAUUCUUAAAUAUAAAGGAAUUAUUUAUGUAUUUACAAAAAUUUAGUUUUGAUGAUUUUUAAAUUCAUAUGUGUUUGUUUGAGAAUUGAAAAAUUGCUUCAUUAUUAGAUAAGUGUGACAAUUUUGAAGGAAAUAUCUCAUAUAUUGAAUAUGUAUGAUUUGUAUCAUGUUAAGAUAUAUGUUUUUUAAAUGUAUUUGGAUAUCUUUGCAUAUACCUUCUAAUGUGUAUGGUUGGAAAGAAUGUCUCAAUAUAACCAAAGAAUAUUUAUAUAGAAAUAUUUAUAGGGAAUUGUUAAAUAAGCUCCAAAGUUUACUAUUUAAGCUCCAAUUCAAUUUUUUUAUUUAUCCAAAUGUCAUUAUCAUCACUAAUAUGGAUGAAAUAUGUGGAGAAGGCAUAGGUAAAUAUGGUAUAAAUUUUGGAUUUGGAGCUUAAAUAGUAAACUGUGGAGUUUAUUUAUCAAUUCCCUAUUUAUAUUGACUGUUAUUAUAAUUAAACUUCAAAAUUUAUUUUAAUUACUAUCAAUAGUUCUAGAAAUUUUCAUGAAAUUAUAUUUGGAUAAAAUUUAAUAUUAUUUAUAACAAUGUCAUUAAGUCUUAAUUUACUUUUUCAUAGAUAUGACAUAUCCUUUUUAACCAAUUAUAUAGUACAACAAAUAAGCAAACAUGAGUGAUGUCCUCACUAGGAUGCAUGCGAUUUUUAUUUACUAAGAUUGAUUGUAACUUAUGAAAUUCUAUAUCACUCUAUUCAUUUCUUUCAAUACAUGAUUAUAUUUUUACAACUUACUAAUUGAUGGGGCAACUUGAUGUCUAUUUAUCUUAUGUUUCUCAUUAUUGUAAAGAAUAAGAAUAUCUGUGACUACUAAGAGAAAGAUUUAUUUAGAAGUUGUUGUAUAAAAUCUUCAAAUUAAAAAGAAUUUUGUUUAAUUUCACCAAAUAAUGAAGAAAAUGCUCCAGAAAAAAGGUUUUGAGAAGAUUAGUGUUGAGAAAUUGUCAGAGUAUACGAGGGACUUCCACUUGACAACGUUUUGGGAGGCAUCAAUGCUAGAGAAAGUGUUAGACGUUGCAAAUUGUGAAUCUAAACUAGUGCAACCAACUUCACAGGUUGCUGAUUCAUCCACAACAUUAGAUUUGGAGUAUAGUAACAGCUGGCAAGUCCAUGCUGUUUUUGAAUUUCGAAAUCGGAAACUAUAUUACUCCCUUUGUUUUGUUUUAUAAAUCGGUUUAUAAUUCCUCAUAUUUUUUAUGAACAGCCUUUAGUUUUCAAGAACAACUGAGAAAGAUGUCUUCCAUAAGAAGGGUAAGAUAUCCACUCUCACCAUCCAAUUUCAAAAAGGCAUGCAAACUAUAGCAUAAGUGCGCUCUUCUUAUAGAUAAUUGACUAAACCGUGAAAAUUGUUCUCGCAGCUUUUGUCCCUAUCCUCCAGUGGCCGGAAAGAACUCAUAUUCCUCACUUCCUCCAAGCAGCACGAAAGAUGGGUUGUUGAUUCUUCAACCGAGGAAUUUAAGGCUAUGUAUUAGAGAAAGAGAGUCGAAAGAUGGGUUUUUAAGUGUCCCUCCCUAAUUUUUGUUGGAGUUUAAUCUAAACUCUGAUAUACUUCAAUUGCUUUUAUUUCUUUUAGUUAUUUUAAAUAAGUUGCUGUGUUAGCAUGAGUGUGCACAGCAGGACUAGGUCGUAGUAAAAAAAUGUUAUUAAGAACAUGGUUAGAUUUAGACACACGUGAGCCAUAUAUAAUGGAAAACCUAAACUAUUCACACCCGAAUGUGACUAGCUCCUAUGUCAAUGUAAACUUUGUACCUAUAUAAUAUGUAUUUUAUAUAAUUGAAACAUAUUAAUCAAGAAAUAUAUGCGAGAAUGAAUUGGCUUUCUCUUCCAAGUGCUUUUUCUAUUGAAAUGAUUCUUCAUUUAUAGGCAAUCCAUACAACACCCAAUAGUUACAUAUAAUCAACACCAAUGAGUAUAUUUGUAACUUAGAGAGAUGAUAUGUACAAAUCAAUAGUUACUUGUAAUUAGUAAAUACAUAUAACUCUUUUAUUUUGUUUCAGGGAUUGAGUCAAAUAUACUAUAGUAGACAUGAAUUUUACUUUGAAAAAUGUUAAGAAACUCAAAUUAGAUCUCGAAUUAUUUUCCAAAUUUCAUGGGUCUUGUUAUAAUUAAUUAUAUAUAAAAAAUAUUUAUUUCCUACAUUGAAAUCAAUUGCAUAACUAGAAAACUUUCAUUGUUACACUUGAGAAUUUUCAAGUUCAUAGCACUACUCAAUAUACUUUUUGUCAAAAUAACCUUUUUCAUUUAUAAUAUCAGUUCAUUAGAGAACCCACAUGGACUCUUAAUAAGAAUCUCAUAGGAAUAUAAGAAAAUGUUAUUUGGUUCCAUUGACAUAAAAUUAGGAAACCGAAAUCCAACUAAAAAUUAUCGUAUUAUUGUAAAAGUUUUUUAUUAAAAAAACUUACCCUAACAACAAUAAGCUCUCAUAUUAUAAAAAAUUAUUUUAAAGAUAAAUCAUAGUUGGACCUCUACAACAUCAACUCGAGGAAAUUGGAACCUAUAAUACUAUCAAUUUAAAUUUCAAUUCUCAAUCAGUCGAAAAGAAAUAUAUUAAAUGCAAACCCAUGAUAUAUAAUAUAUAUUAAUAUUUUUUUUGGUGAAUACCGCAAAUAAAUAAUUGAAUAUUUUUCAGUUAUUUUCUUUGCAUAUUUUGCAUCAAAAAUGCUAAUAUUUUAAAGAAAUUUAUAAGGUGAUUAAUAAAUUUUAUAUAUUUUUAUUCACUAAUUGAUACGAUGUUUUAAUAAUUAAUUGUUAAUUUCAUCUUAUUAAAUCAAUUAUUUAUUGUAAUAAUAGUGUGAUAUAAUUUCGUAACUAAAGUCUAGGUAGGGUGACGUAAUUGAUGUCUUUUGAUUUUUCAAAAAAAAUAAAAAUAUCUAAAGACUUAAUCAUUAAAAUAAUUUAUUUAAAAAAUCCAUCUAUUAUUCAAGUGAGGGGUGUAAAAACUGCUUUAAAUGGAUGACUAGAUUUCUCCCCAAGGCCAUAAUUUUUUUUAAAUCAUACCAAAAUUACUCGAUCUAGACAUUAGUUGAGAUCACCACCUUACACAGGUGUAGCUAAUUAGUAAAUAUAAUAAUAAAUAGAAAAGUUAUAGUUUUUCAGAAGGAACCAGAUCACGGGUGUUGAGCGUUGAGCAUCUAUAUCAACCUCACCUCCCCUCCCCUCCCCCCUCCCCCAACCUAAUAGUUGUAAACAAAAUAUUUUGUGUAGCUAAUUGCAAAUUGAUGAUUGAUCAAUUGCCUUGUAAAUAAGAUGCCAGCUGACCACAUCAUAUUACUCUAAUGUCAAAAGGUAGGUUGGUACAUUCUAUUAUUUAAUAAGAUUUUAAUAUGUUUGAGAGUUCUGAUUUACAAUUUUCUCUCUCAAAUCAGAGACCACAUAAUUCACACCCAUCACUGAAUCACCUAAAUUACACCCAUAAGUGAAACUCACCAUGUAUAAAUCCUAAUAAUCCCGAAUAUUCUUUAAUUAAAUCAAUAUUAUAUUGAUCUAUGUCAUCUAUAUGUCUACGAUCUAUCAUUUCUCGGGCAUAUGUCUAUCAUCAAUAGUGAACCGUACAUAUAUACAUACACACAUAUAUCAUAUAUAUGUUUUCAAUUGCAAAAACAAGAAAACUUUCAUUCAAAAUAUAGAUCUAGAUGAAGUAUAUACAUACACACAUAUAUCAUAUAUGUUUUCAAUUGCAAAAACAAGAAAACUUUCUUUCAAAAUAUAGAUCUAGAUGAAGGAUAAUUAUUAACUGCUUGAUGUGCUGCCAGAUAUCAUCAAUACAAUACAAGAAUUUCUGAUCUUCUAAUAUAGAGAUGGGGGUCAUGAGGGGAAGUUCAUUAAGGAGCCUUGGUGUGGCGGGGGCCAUCUCAUCUCUACAAACAUUCAGGUAAGUCAUUUUUCCAUCUUUAAAAUAUACUUAAAUAUAAAGAAAUUAUAUAUGUAUUUACAAAAAUUUAGUUUUGAUGAUUUUUAAAUUCAUAUGUGUUUGUUUGAGAAUUAAAAAAUUGAUUCAUUAUUUGAUAAGUGUGACAAUUUUGAAGGAAAUAUCUCAUAUAUUGAAUAUGUAUGAUUUGUACUCCCUCCGUCCCACUCAUUUCUUUACAAUUUUCCUUUUUGGGUGUGCCACUCAAUUCUUUACAUUUCAAAACUUACCAAAAAUAGUCAAUAGGUCCCACCACUUCUCCACUUUUCUUUACUUUUCACACUACUUUUACUCCACUAUCUUCUUUUUAUACAUUAAAAAUCAAUGGGUCCCACCACUUCACCCACUUUUCUAUCUCUUUUUCAUUACUUUAUACAUAUUUCCUAACCUCCGUGCCCAACCCAUUCGAUAAAAAAUGGAGGGACGGAGGGAGUAUCAUGUUAAGAUAUAUGUUUUUUAAAUAUAUUUGGGUAUCUUUGCAUAUACCAUCUAAUGUGUAUGGUUGGAAAGAAUAUCUCAAUAUAACCAAAGAAUAUUUUAUAUAGAAAUAUUUAUAUUGAUUGUUAUUAUAAUUAAACUUCAAAAUUUAUUUUAAUUACUAUUAAUAGUUCUAGAAAUUUUCAUGAAAUUAUAUUUGGAUAUAAUUUAAAAUUAUUUAUAAAAAUGUCAUUAAGAUUUUUAUGUUGAUAAUAAUAUACAAUGGAGUCUUAAAUUAGUUUUUCAUAGAUAUGACGUAUCCUUUUUAACCAAUUAAAUAAAACAACAAAUAAGCAAACAUGAGUGAUGUCCGCACUAGGAUGCAUGUGAUUUUUAUUUACUAAGAUUGAUUGCAACUUGUAAAAUUCUAUAUCACUCUAUACAUUUCUUUCAAUACAUGAUUAUAUUUUUAGAACUUACAAAUUUAUGGGGCAACUGGAUGUCUAUUUAUCUUAUGUUUCUCAUUAUUGGAAAGAAUAAGAAUAUCUUUGAAUAUUAAGAGAAAGAUUUAUUUAGAAGUUGUUGUAUAAAAUCUUCAAAUUAAAAAGAAUUUUGUUUAAUUUCAGCAAAUAAUGAAUAAAAUGCUCCAGAAAAAAGGUUUUGAAAAGGUUUUGAAAAGAUUAGUGUUGAGAAAUUGUCAGAGUAUACAAGGGACUUCCAGUUGACAAUGUUUUGGGAGGCAUCAAUGCUAGAGAAAGUGUCGGACGUUGCAAAUUGUGAAUCUAAACUAGUACAACCAACUUCACAGGUUGCUGAUUCAUCCACAACAUUAGAUAUGGAGUAUAGUAACAGCUGGCAAGUCCAUGCUCUUUUUGAUUUUCGAAAUCGGAAACUAUAUUACUCCCUUUGUUUUGUUUUAUAGAUCGGUUUGGAAGUCCUCAUAUUUUUUAUGAACAGCGUUUAGUUUUCAAGAACAGCUGAGAGAGAUGUCUUCCAUAAGAAGGGUAAGAUAUCCACUCUCACCAUCCAAUUUCAAAAAGGCAUGCAAACUAUAGCAUAAGUGCGCUCUUCUUAUAGAUAAUUGACUAAACCCUGAAAAUUGUUCUGGCAGCUUUUCUCCCUAUCCUCCAAUGGCCGGAAAGAACUCAUCUUCCUCACUUCCUCCAAGCAGCACGAAAGAUGGGCUUUUGAUUCUUCUGCCCAGGAAUUUAAGGCUAUGUAUUAGAGAAAUAGAGUUGAAAGAUUGGUUUUUAAGUGUCCCUCCCUAAUUUUUGUUGGAGUUUAAUCUAAACUUGACAUACUUCAGUUGCUUUUAUUUCUUUUAGGUAUAUUAAAUAAGUUGCUGUGUUAGCAUGAGUGUGCACAGCAAGACUAGGUCGGAGUAAAAAAAUAUUAUUAAGAACAUGGUCAGAUUUAGACACACGUGAAUCAUAUAUAAUGGAAAACCUAAACUAUUCACACCCGAAUGUGACUAGCUCCUAUGUCAAUGUAAACUUUCUACCUAUAAAAUAUGUAUUUUAUAUAAUUGAAACAUAUUAAUCAAGAAAUAUAUGCGAGAAUGAAUUGGCUUUCUCUUCCAAGUGCUUUUUCUAUUGAAAUGAUUCUUCAUUUAUAGGCAAUCCAUACAACACCCAAUAGUUACAUAUAAUCAACACCAAUGAGUAUAUUUGUAACUUAGAGAGAUGAUAUGUACAAAUCAAUAGUUACUUGUAAUUAGUAAAUACAUAUAACUCUUUUAUUUUGUUUCAGGGAUUGAGUCAAAUAUACUAUAGUAGACAUGAAUUUUACUUUGAAAAAUGUUAAGAAACUCAAAUUAGAUCUCGAAUUAUUUUCCAAAUUUCAUGGGUCUUGUUAUAAUUAAUUAUAUAUAAAAAAUAUUUAUUUCCUACAUUGAAAUCAAUUGCAUAACUAGAAAACUUUCAUUGUUACACUUGAGAAUUUUCAAGUUCAUAGCACUACUCAAUAUACUUUUUGUCAAAACAACCUUUUCCAUUCAUAAUAUGAGUUCAUUAGAGAACCCACAUGACUCUUAAUAAGAAUCUCAUAGGAAUAUAAGAAAAUGUUAUAUGCUUCCAUUGACAUAAAAUUAGGAAACAGAAAUCCAACUAAAAAUUAUCGUAUUAUUGUUAAAGUUUUUUAUUAAAAAAACUUACCCUAACUACAAUAAGCUCUCAUAUUAUAAAAAAUUAUUUCAAAGAUAAAUCAUAGUUGGACCUCUACAACAUCAACUCGAGGAAAUUGGAACCUAUAAUACUAUCAAUUUAAAUUUCAAUUCUCAAUCAGUCGAAAAGAAAUAUAUUAAAUGCAAACCCAUGAUAUAUAAUAUAUAUUAAUAAUUUUUCUUGGUGAAAACCGCAAAGAAAUAAUUGAAUAUUUUUCAGUUAUUUUCUUUGCGUAUUUUGCAUCAAAAAUGCUAAUAUUUUAAAGAAAUUUAUAAGGUGAUUAAUAAAUUUUAUAUAUUUUUAUUCACUAAUUGAUACGAUGUUUUAAUAAUUAAUUCUUAAUUUCAUCUUAUUAAACCAAUUAUUUAUUGUAAUAAUAGUGUGAUAUAAUUUCGUAACUUUAGUCUACGUAGGGUGAUGUAAUUGAUGUCUUUUGAUUUUUCAAAAAAAAUAAAAAUAUCUAAAGAGUUAAUCAUUAAAAUAAUUUAUUUACAUCAAUCCAUCCAUUAUUCAAGUGAGGGGUGUAAAAACUGACAGCUUUAAAUGGAUGACUAGAUUUCUCCCCAAGGCCAUAAUUUUUUUUAAAUCAUACCAAAAUUACUCGAAGGAUCUAGACAUUAGUUGAGAUCAUCACCUUAUACAGGUGUAGCUAAUCAGUAAAUAUAAUAAUAAAUAGAAAAGUUAUAUUUUUCAGAAGGAACCAGAUGAGUAUGCCUUACUUCAAAUGUAACACCUUAUAUACGGGUGUUGAGCAUCUAUAUCAACGUCACCUCCCCUUCCCCCUCCCCCAACCUAAUAGUUGUAAACAAAGUAUUUUGUGUAGCUAAUUGCAAAUUGAUGAUUGAUCAAUUGCCUUGUAAAUAAGAUGCCAGCUGACGACAUCAUAUUACUCUAAUGUCAAAAGGUAGGUUGGUACAUUCUGUUAUUUAAUAAGAUUUUAAUAUGUUUGAGAGUUCUGAUUUACAAUUUUCUCUCUCAAAUCAGAGACCACAUAAUUCACACCCAUCACUGAAUCACCUAAAUUACACCCAUCAGUGAAACUCACCAUGUAUCUAUCCUAAUAAUCCCGAAUAUUCUUUAAAUCAAUAUUAUAUUGAUCUAUGUCAUCUAUAUGUCUAAGAUCUAUCAUUUCUCGGGCAUAUAUCUAUCAUCAAUAGUGAACCGUUCUUCCUGAAUUGAGUCAUAAAUAACUCCAUAGUCUGAUAUUUGUACAGUUACAUAUGUGGAAACUUCUUUAACACUCUCAUAAUCUUAAUCUGACACUUAGACUGCCUUACUUCUUAGAUUUUAGAUAUGUAAUCAGUUGUAGAAUUUUCUUUAUUCCCUUUAUGAGCACAGAGUCAUUAAAUCUUAAGUGUGGAUUCAUCUAAACUAUGCUUUCACUAUUCAGAAAAGAAAAGAAAACAAAGAAAAUAAACUUAGGUACUCCUUUGAGAUCUUAGAUAUUCUGUGUCAGGGAAGAUCCAAGUGCAUUGCUGGUAUUAAGCAGAAUGCAUCAGAAAAGCAAUAUUUUUCUUGGUGACCUUUCACAUUCUCUGAUUUCUGGAGAAAUACUCUGAGCACUAGAAAAUUGAUCUGAUGAUGGUUAUAACUCACUUACCCUGAGAAGUUUACAUUCUAAAGAUUAUCUUGAUUUAAUAAAGAGAAGCAUCUGUUAAACUCUGAUCCAUACCAUAGUAGGCUCUGUUGCCAAUGAAGUGUUUAAAUAAUUUUCUGACAAUUUGGUUCUUUCUAAAAAUCUUGAGAAUUUUGUCAAUCUCUGUAGCAAACUUAGAUUCAUGAACUCACACACUUUACACUCCACGUCUGUGAUUAACAAAUAUUUUGUCUUCGAGUGAUUUCUUGAUAAUAUUCAAAUUAUAUUUGUAAACUCUGAGGAUAAAUAUUCGUAUAAUUUGUCAUUUCUCUUCAGAUGAUUAAUUGGGAAUAUCUUCUUAGAUUGUUCUAUAGUCUGAUAUUUGCUUAAAUUCUGACUCUGGUCAAUCUCUGAUUGACUUCGCGAUUUAAUUGUUUAAUUUUUUUUUAUCAGAGUAAAUAAUCAGAUUGAUUUUCUAACGGUACAAAAUCUUUUUGCAUUCUUUAGUGGAGUAAAACACGGGUGAUUAUUGUGUUUUAUCGGUAAUGGUUGUUUUACACAAGUUCACACGCUACAGUAAUUAUUACUGCUCCACUAUAUUAUUUUUUACCGUUAGGAGGACACCACGUGUCCCACUAACGUUUGUUAUUGCAGUUCGCGUGCAUACACAUAUAUAUAUACUCAGUUAAAAGAUUUUAAUCUUUUACUUUUUCACACGCAUUUUUCACUGCUCUCUCUCUCUCUCUCUACACUCUAUUCUCUCUUGCACAUUUCAUCAAACACCUCACCUACAUCUCACGAUUUUCGCAAUUUUUCAGCAAAAUGACUACCACAGCUUUCGAUUUUGAUGGAGCAAAGUUUGUCACCAACAACUAUGCUGCCAUUCUCAACAAUGAUGAAGCUCCAACGGGAUUUCAUCUGAUUCAAGAUUUUCUGGCGCACAGUGACCUUAUGUACACUCUGACUCAACCAGAGUCCAUCUCGUCGGCUCAAGUGAUCACGUUCUGGCGAACAACAAACUACGAUGAUGGGGGUCACCAUGGCUCACCUUCACUCAGUUGUCAGUACGAUGGCCAGGAAUACUUCGUCUCUCCAGCCACAGUCAGGAAGGCUCUUCAUCUGCCUGACAACAACAAGUUUGAUUCCUCUGUCUCCACUCAAACUCUGAGGGAUAUGAUGACUUUCUUUGGGUAUUCAGGAAACACUGACCAUAUGGGGGACCUCAAACGCCCCAAUCUCUGCAAAGAGUGCAGCUUCUUCUAUGACUGCAUCACAAGGGCCUUUGGCAACAAAUGCAGCAAUUUUGAUGCUAUUCCUCUACUCAGUCAGCAAAUCGGGUAUUCUCUUAUCCACAAUCUCAAAUUUGACAUUGCUACACCACUCUUGAGACUUAUUGGUGAAAGAAGAAAGAGAAUAUGAAUGUCAUAUAGUAUGCUAGAUUCUGUCAAUUAAUAUUCUCUUAUUGUUUCCCUGAUAUACCAUUACCUGAGACUGACACUAAGCUUCCUUUCAAACUCACCAAACGUGUUUUUACUGAUUUAAUUAAGAAGGAUAGCAAAAAGUUGGCCCUCCCUGUCUUUUCCAUUCUUGUAACAGUGCAGGACAAGUUGAAGCUGGCACUACCAGAUAAAUACAACCCCUUAUUCUUUGAUGAGAAUCAACCUCAACCCUCAAUUUCUCAACCACAGGAUGUACCAACCUCUGGUCCUUCCCAACAAGGGCCAGUUGUAAAAUUUGACCUUCCCUCUCCUAAGAGGAUUCUGAGAUCCUCUAAGACCUCACAUCAACCUUCACCAUCUCCUCAACCCAAAAGGAAGAGGAAGUUUCUUCAGCCUAUCUCUGACUCUGAUGAGGAAGACUCACCACCUCCUCCAUCACCACACCAGUUAAACAACCAAGAAAGAAAGUCAAGACCACCAAUAUCACUGAUUUGACUCUUGAGCCUCCUUGUCAAUCAGUAGAAAAUCUUCAGGCCUUGGUUCCCUUCUCUGAUCAACCACCGAUUGCUAAUCUUGUGUUGGUGGAACCAAUCUCUACCAUGCCUCUUGAGAUGCCAGCUACGUACCGCAGCUGACAUUCCUAUGUCAGAUGAUCUUCAGGCAACAACUCCAGUUCUUAGUCAGGACACUUUGAUCACAGCUAAAGGUCCAGCAGAAUCUCCCUUUCCUAUGAAUCAGGAAUCUCUGAUUCAGACUGAAGACCAUGAUGCAGCUCCUGUUUAGGAGAUCUCUUAUGCUGCAAAUUCUGAUGCAGCCACAGAAGCUCUGCCUUCCCAAACUCUGAGUAUUUCAGUAGUUGAUGAUGAUGAAGCUGAGGAGGUAACUUCUGUUCAGAUUCCAGUUCAAGCACCAUGCACUGAUCCUCCUCUCCUCACAGCACAGCCACAGCCUUCAGUAUCUGCACCUCCUAGCACUUCUGGCAGAGUUAAAAUCUGUCAAGUUGCCUACCAUCAUGGUAUGUGCAGAGAUGUGCCUCAAUCUCUUGAAUCAAGGGUUGCUGGUAUUGAAGCCACUCAACAAUCCAGGCUGAAUACAUUAUCUGAGUUGAGUUCUUCUGUUGCACAGUCGGUCUUUUUUCUUACCUCUGCUGAUGUCAAAAGGGGGGAGAAAAUACCAAAAGACAAAUGCUCUGAUGACAAACCUCUGUCAAAGAAGAAGCCAGAUGAUGACAAGGAUGAAAAGGAAGCAAGGAGAAACUCUGAUAAACAGAUUGUUCUACAAAUCAGAGAUAAAAAGCAAGCUACAGCUUCUUAGGCUGAAGGAAGUAGGAGAAAUAAGGAUGGAAACUCUGAAGCAAUUAGAAAAUCAAAGUCAAUCAAGCCAAUCUCAAGGGAACUGACUGUAAUUGACCCUGUGAUGCCAGCAGUUGAACAGCAAGGAGAAAAUCUGAUCUCUGAAUCAAAUAAAUUGAUUUAAGCUGGAGAUCCAGAAUCUCAGAAAUUCUGUCAAACUCUGAAGUUCAGAGAAAAAGAGACUACCCUGUUUUACAAAUCUCCAUCUCUUCAAGCUGUUGAUGAAGCUGUUGCCAAGAAAAUCUUUGAAAGGGAGAAUCCAGGAGUAGAUAUUGAAGCUAUCAGACUUGAAGAAGAAAGAUUAGCAGCUGAGAAGAUGAAGAUAAGCAAAUCAAAGUCUGAUAAGCAGAAACCAAUCUCUGAUCCCUUACAGAAACAAUCAAGACCAAGAGAAAAAGGGAUUGUGAUUGGGGAAAUAAAUUAUUCUCAUAUCAACAGACCUAGAACCAGAUCACAAGCAAGUCUGAGACUGAGUCUAAGGACAAAGGAAAGAAAGCUGUUAAUGGUGUUCCUGUUCCAAAGAAGACUUCAGUUAUCAAGAUUGCAUCCUUCUGAAAGACUGAUACAGUUGAGCAAAGCUAUCAAGGUGAUAUCUGAUGCAUCUGGUAAGGGUGAAGAAGAAGAAGAAAUUGGGUUGACCAGAAAGAAGAAGGCUUCAGGAACAAUGGCCAGGUUAUCUUCUGACCUGAACUUAACCUCUGACAUUGCUCAAGUUAAGAUUCAAGAAACAAAGGCAAAAUCUGAUCAGUUAGAGUCUGUGGAGAGAAAAGCUUCAUGGCUGAAAUCAAGCUCUGAUAAAUCACAAGAUCAGAACAAGAAGAAAAGCUUAUUUGGAAGCCUUGGAACCAGUCUAUAUAAGGAAAGUUCUAUGCUGACCAGACUUAGACUUCAAGGAACUAGAGGAAAAGAAGCAUAUGAUACUACUAGACUUAGACACAGAAAGGAGAAAAUAGAAACAAGUUCAGCAAGUACUUUCAGAGAUCCUUAUCCUCUGACUAACAAAGUUGGUGAAGCUGUCACUCAGAAGGAUCUUGAUAAAGUGGAGUCAGCACAAAUUCUGAUAGACACUCAUGAUGGUACAGGUGAUAAAGAGAAGAUGACAAUCUUUCUCAACAAUGGCAGAGUCUACAGAAUAUUAGAAGCGUUGUUAAAAUCUCUAAGGGAGCUUGAGCAUAUUCAUUAUAUGUUUGAGAUAAAGAAUGAAGUAACCCAGAGAUGGUCUGAUCUGAUAAAAAGGACUAUCACUGAAAAGAGAAGAUUUUAUAGAAUUAAGCCUGAUGAGGAGUACAUUCCCAAGAUAUCUCAAGAUGAUGGUUCUGAGAUUGAAAUGCAGAAAAACAGCUCUAUAUGGAGUCAUUAGCUGGAACCAGAAUCUUGGGGUAUAAUAAUGAUGCAGACAGACCAAGGGUAAUUCUGGGAGAAGCAAUGAGGAGAAGCAAGGAAAAUGCCUUGAGAUCAGCUAUAUACCAGACUAGGGAAGACAUUGAAGAGCUCAGUUCUGUGAAGGCCCAGAUGAUACAAACUCUGAGGCAAAUUGAAGAAGAUCUGAUCACUCAAUUUGUCAGAGAAAGCUAUGGAUAUAGGCUGAUGGAAUAGAAUGAAACUGCUGGUUCUGUAAGUGGUAAUUAGUUCUGUGAAUUAAUUAUUCAUGCAUUUGUCCUUAGUUUUGACAUCAUCAGUAUAUAUAGUAACUUGUUCAUUCUGAUUAAUGUAAAGGUUGGGGGAGAUUGUUACAUAUUUGAUGAUGUCACAUGUAUCUAACUUGUUUAGUGUGCAGAAAUGAAGAUCAGAGUUUAGCCGGAAAUCAGAGUUUAUCGACUGCUAGCUGGAUCAGAGUUUAACGAUGGUCAGAUAUUGCAGGCGCCUGAUUUCUAGGAAAAGAUCUGGAUAAACAAGGGAGAUAAAGAUUAAGGAAGAUUGUGCAGAUCAGGACAGCAGAGGAUAGCUAUUGAUUGGAUUAUUUUAGGAAGCAUAUUAUUAUUAAAUUAAUCAGUAGAUAUCAUGUAACUGUGCAUAUAAACACAGCGUAGGGUUUACUCUAUAUGAGUUAAGCAUCGAGAAUAUUAUUCUUGUAACCCAGCAGCUCUUAGUGAUAAAUUAUAAGUCACUAAGAGAGUAUUUGUAAACUACUGUGAUUUGUGUUAAUAAGAGUUUAGUUAAUUUAUUCUCUUAUUCAUGUGUUCCGUAUUGAUUGUGUUCACUAUAUACAUAGUGAUUUUAAUCGGCCUAACAUAAAAUACUAAACGUAAGACACUAAGAUACCAGUGUAAAUCACAUCUUACCUCCAUAAUAAUUUUGUCACAAUUCUGCAUCACUUGACCAAUAACUUCAUUCGCAUUUCUAAUAUACUGAUCCCAUUCUGAUUGUUGAACCAGAUUAAUUAGCUCUGUCCGGAAAAGCUUCAGUGGCUAGUUUCUCCAACAUUUUGCUAAGUUGGGUCCGAGGCACCUGAUUGUCAGCUAUAGAUUUGACCAUAUUUGUCACCUCUGAUAGCACCCUUCGGAUAAUUGAGUAUGCAUCUUCUGGAAUGAUGAAUUGAGAGGCCUGAGUAGAUUGAUCUGCAUUCAAUCUUGAUGCUUCACUACCUCCUAACAAUUCUAAAAGGUGUUUCGAGGGAACAAUAUAGUUUAUUUUUUUUGGGUUUCAUGGCCUGUAUAAGAAGGUACAAAUCAUGUUUCCUUUUGCUCGCUAGAGAUUGAGGGACCUCUGGGACUAGUAUUAUAUAUAUAUAUAUAUAUAUAUAUAUAUAUAUAUAUAUAUAUAUAUAUAUAUAUAUAUAUAUAUCAAUAAUUNAGACAUGCUUGAAGAAUUUUAGAUUCGUCAUAGGAGUCUCCAAAUUAGAAUCCAAUUUAUGUACGAAGAAGUAAAAAAUAUCUAAGGGCAUUGUGCAAUUUAUUUGCUAACUCAGCACUUGCAUUUUAAGACCAUGUAUAUAUAUAUAUAUAUAUAUAUAUAUAUAUAUAUAUAUAUAUUUAUGAUACAGUGCUGAAACUACAAACAUGAUAAUGAUAUUAAAAUUACUCAAGUGCAAGCCCAUAUAUACAUUAACAUACAAUAACUACAUACAAUAAAUCAUAAAACAAAGAUAUUGAGGCAAUAAAUAUUGAUUGGUCAGAGCUUAGAUUAAUCAUAUUUGUUCCUGCUCGUCGCUCGACAUAUUAUAAUUAUGGUUUAAUGACCUUUUAGCCCUCGAAGUACGGGUGGAAGUUCCUAUGCGACCUCGAAGUUUAAAAACGUACCUUUCGACCCUUAAAGUAUCUUUGUCAUACCUAUUAGCCGCUUUUAAAAAUACCAGUAUAAAUCAUGGGAUAAACUUGACAAUUCAUAUUCGGGGUACAGUUUGGGCGUACCUUUUAACCCUUAACGUAUACAUCUCGUUCCUUUUAACCCCUAAAGAAUACAUUAAAAUAAAUUAGAUGUUCCUUUUAACCCUUAAUGCUUACUGCCCCUUUUAACCCUCACGUGUGAAAUGUCAACUUUGUCCACCCCGUUAUUGUGGCGCCCCCGGCCCGGGAUGACCUCAGAAACCCGACCCGGGGAUGCCAAACAAACUAACCAACUCAAUAUAUGCUUACACAACCUUAACAACACUUCAUAAUAUAAAGUUCUUACAACGUCUUCAAGUUUGUAACUAAAGAUUACAUCAUAAGCUCCUAACUUAAACACAAACACAAGCAUAUUAUAUUAACAUCUUCCUCUACAAGCCUCUUGUUGCCACUAAAACCUUAGUUCAUCACAUUCUUAUCCUUUCCAGAACAUCCUUCUCCAAAAUUCUUUCCUGAGAAAGUUAGUGACAUAAAAGAGUGAGCUAUAAAGCUCAGUGAGCAUAUAUUGUACGAUUCAACUGAGGUUUAUCCAAGAACUAAAACAAUCUUUUGAUAAAAUAAUCAUCAAGAAUUUAUCAAUAUCAUCAAAGGUUCAUCACAGCAAAAUAGUUCUCACAAGAUUAAAACCGAGUAUUCAAGCAUGAUUAGUUCAUCAAUUCAUCAAGUUGGGAUCCCGGCCAGCUAAACAAUCGGUUUAGCUCUACUUCCAAUAAGGAAGCAUCAUCAUCAGUUCAUCAAGUAUCAAUGCAAGAAUACUCGUUUUUCAUCAGUAAAACAUCAUUUAAAUAUUAAACAUCAACAGCGAAUAAGUACAGUAUAUACUUACCUUAAAUCGCUUCUAAAUUUAAAUUCUUUCUCGAUCUCGAACCUCGGUACUAUUAACCCUUCCUAACAAUAUAAAUCACAAUUUGCAAUUAACAAUUUUUUUAUUUUAUUAAAUCUCAAAACCAAAAUUUCUACUAAUAAAAAGCCUUACUAACUAAUUACAAUUAAAUAAAAUAAUAAUAAUAGUAAACAAAUAAUAAAUAUAAAUAAAUAAGAAUAAAAUACGAGGACUUACAAAUUAAAAGCCUUCAGUUUCCUAAUUAGGAAAGCCAACUAGCUUGGUGUAUUUAUACAAGGAAAGUGGGAGAAUUUCUCAAGCUUUCUCGAUGUGGUACCAAGUCCAAUAGAAAGAAAAUGAAAUAUUGAAAAUAAAAUUCUUUACAUAAAGAUGACACUAGAGCUAGUACCAACUAGGCAGUAUGUAAAUAGCUUAAGUUGUUGGUAAAGGCCAUGCUCCUUUCCUAUAUAUAUCUAUCAAGUUUCAUUUUUCUUAUCAAUGUGGUAGCAAAGUAAAGCACAAAAAGAAAAGAAAUUCUAACAAAGCACUCAUGGGUGUUACAAGGGAAGCUGGGCCUACAACCAAUUAAUUAUUGUUGCUCAUAACCUUGGCUCCUUCUAUAUGUUUACAAUAUUCUUCAUUUAUUUAGUCAAUGUGGUUUGUGUAUUUUUCCUCUCAUUGUAAUACACUACUCAUCCCACAUCGAAAAGGUAUUGAAACCUUCUUGCUUUCAACAUCUAUAUAUAUCCCCCAAAUAGCUCACCUUUCUACUUAAAAGGUUUUGAAACCUUUGUAUCUUAGAAAGCUUGCAACCUUUCUCCUGGCUUAAACAUAGCCAAAUAAUAUAAGUUCAAACUUUUUAUUUAGAGAAAAAUUGAUAUGUUUUCUCAUAAUUAGAUAAAUAACAAGAUGAAGGAUGAGUUCUAAAGUUUAUGGACUUCACUAAGUCCCACAUCGAGGGAGUAUAAGAAAGAUAUAAGCUCUUCCUCUAUAUAAGAAGGCUACUAGCCAAUACUAGUAUUUUAUAUCCAACUAAGUAAGUGAUCUUGCUUAGUUUUGGGACGAUUAUUCGUCCCACAUCGAGAAGAUACACUAAAGUUAUCACUUCUUUCUCUAUAUAACAAUGGUAUGAAGCCUACACUAGCAUCUUAUAACAAACUAAGCUAAACAUGUCGCUUAGUUUUUGGGACAACUCUAGUUGUCCCACAUCGAGAAGAUUUUGAAUAGGUCUUCUUCCCAACUCCAUAUAAUGUCAAUAGAUCUAUUUGCUCAAAGUAACAAAAGAGAACUCACCCAUUCUCAUAAUGAGAAGUUGAGCAUAGAACUUAUAAAGUUCCAUAUAAAUUAGACAAACACAAAUAUUCUUUCAUGACUUUACAUAUAAGUCAAACAGGGCAUGAAAGUCCAUAAGUUUACUCUUACAAGAAUAGAAGUAGAGAUAAAAAUAAUCAUCCAAGUCUUAUUUAUUUGUAAAACACUUGUCCCACAUCGAGAAGAUGUGAGUACAAGUCUCAUGUCUCAACUAUAUAUUGAGAUUGAGCAUGAACCUACUAACUUAAAAGUUGGGCUUGGUAACUUAACUAAGCCUAACAUUUGCCCCAAAUAAUGAUUGGGUUGAUAUCUUCCAAAAUCUUAUUUUCGGAUUGAACACAACUUUUAAGAAGGAAGAAUAUAUAAUAAUAUUCUUCAAAAUACAUAUAAUAUAAUUUAUGUAUUUUUAAAUAAUAUAAAGUCGGAAUAUUACAUCCUUCCCCCCUUAAAAGAAUUUCGUCCUCGAAAUUUAAAUCAUACCUGACAUAUCGAAUAAAUUUGGAUAUUUUGUCCUCAUCAUUUCCUCGGGUUCCCAAGUUGCCUCCUCACAUUAUGAUUUCUCCAAAUAACUUUCACUAAAGGUAUGAUCUUAGUUCUCAACUUCUGCUCGCGACGAUCUGCUAUUUCAACUGGGUGUUCUUCGUACUGCAUAUUUUCCUGAAUUUCUAUUGGUUCAUAAUCUAUAAUAUGCGAUGGAUCUGAGACAUACUUUCGCAGAUAUGACACGUGAAAUACGUUAUGAAUAUGUCCUAGACUUGGUGGGAGUGCUAGCUCGUAUGCUACUUCUCCAAUUCUUCUAAGAACCUCAAAUGGCCCAAUAUAACGAGGACUUAAUUUUCCUUUCUUCCCGAAUCUCAUAACACCCUUCCAUGGAGAAAUUUUAAGAAAUACAAAAUCUCCCUCCUUAAACACAACAUCUCGGCGGUCCUUGUCUGCAUAACUUUUUUGCCUACUCUGAGCCGUUAAAAUCCUUUGUUGUAUCAACUUCACCUUCUCCGUAGUUACCCGAAUUAACUCUGGCCCCAACAAUCUUCUUUCUCCAACUUCAUCCCAACAUAAUGGUGUUCUACAUCGACGUCCAUAAAGAGCUUCAUAUGGAGCCAUCCCAAUUGUCGCUUGAUAACUAUUAUUAUAUGCAAAUUCUGCUAAAGGUAAAUGUUCUUCCCAACUUCCUUUAAAAUCCAACACACAAGCUCUUAACAUGUCUUCUAAAAUUUGAAUUGUACGUUCCGAUUGACCAUCCGUCUGAGGGUGAAAUGCCGUGCUCAUACUUAGUUUUGUACCCAUCUCUUCUUGAAAACUAUUCCAAAAUCUCGAAGUAAAUCUGGGAUCUCUGUCAGACACAAUCGACACAGGUACUCCAUGCAACCUAACUAUUUCUCGUAUAUACAACUUUGCUAACUUCUCUAGAGGUGAUGAUUCUGAUAUAGCCAGAAAGUGGGCACUCUUUGUUAGUCUAUCCACGAUAACCCAGAUGACAUCAUUUCCUCUUUGUGUCCUUGGCAAUCCUAAUACAAAAUCCAUGGUGAUGUGUUCCCAUUUCCAUUCAGGGACAGGUAGUGAUUGUAAUAAACCUCCUGGCCUUUGAUGCUCCGCUUUCACUUGUUGACAAACUAAACAUCUUGCCACCCAUUCCGCAAUUUCUCUCUUCAUCUUAGGCCACCAAAAAUGUUGCUUUAAGUCCUUAUACAUCUUCGUAGAUCCAGGAUGUACCGAAAAAGAUGAUGAAUGUGCGUCAGACAAUAUUUCCUUCUUAAUCUCUAUAUCAGAUGGUACACAUAUUCGAUCGCGAAACCUCACGAUGUCGUCGUUUCCUUUCCUAAAAUCUUUCUUUCCCGAUUCUGAAUUAGAAUUAUUCAAAAUUUCUUUUAAUCGUUCAUCUUGAAUCUGACUUGCCUUUAUCUUUUCUAAUAACAUCGGUUUGACCUUAAUUUGACACAAUAAGCUCUCAUCCUUCUUUUGCAUACCAAAUUCCAUUCUAAAUCUUUCUUCUUUAAGAUCUAAUGAUUCUACUAUAACACUCGCACAAUUUCCGACUUCCUUCCUACUUAACGCAUCAGCUACAACAUUCGCCUUACCAGGGUGAUAUAAAAUUUCACAAUCAUAAUCCUUUAACAACUCCAGCCAUCUUCUCUGCCUCAUAUUUAAAUCUUUCUGUGAAAAGAGGUACUUUAAACUUUGAUGAUCUGUAAAAAUUUUACACUUUCCUCCAUACAAGUAAUGCCUCCAGAUUUUAAGCGCGAAAACUACUGCAGCCAAUUCUAAAUCGUGGGUGGGGUAAUUCUUCUCAUGAUUUCUUAAUUGUCGAGAUGCAUAAGCAAUUACCUUAUCACGUUGCAUUAACACACAUCCUAAUCCUUUCCUUGACGCAUCACUAUAAAUAACAAAAUCUUCAGUUCCAUCUGGUAAUCCAAGUACUGGAGCAGACGUUAGUCUUUUCUUUAAUUCAAUAAAACUUUUCUCACAUUCCUCCGACCAAACAAACUUAACGUCUUUCCUUGUGAGAUUUGUUAAUGGUCCAGCUAUCUUAGAGAAAUUUUGAACAAACUUCCUAUAAUAUCCGGCCAAACCUAAGAAACUUCGAAUCUCUGUCACCGUCCUUGGUCUUUCCCAAUUCAUGAUCACCUCAAUCUUCGAAGGAUCAACUGAAAUUCCUUCUUCUGAAACUACAUGUCCAAGAAAACUUACUCUCCUUAACCAAAACUCACAUUUUGAAAACUUCGCAUACAACUGCUCUUUCCUCAAAGUUUCUAAGACAAUCCUUAAAUGUUCCUCAUGUUCCUUCUCAGUCCUUGAGUAAAUCAGAAUAUCAUCGAUAAACACAAUUACAAACUUAUCCAGAUAAUUCCUAAAUACUCGAUUCAUCAAAUCCAUGAAUACCGCAGGUGCAUUUGUUACCCCAAACGGCAUCACUACAAACUCAUAAUGACCAUAUCGAGUCCUAAACGCCGUCAAUGGAAUGCUUUCUUUCUUUACUCUCAACUGAUGAUAGCCUGAGCGCAAAUCUAUCUUUGAAAAGUAAGUGGCUCCUUGUAAUUGAUCAAAAAGAUCAUCUAUUCGUGGAAGUGGGUAUUUAUUCUUUACAGUCAACUUAUUCAGUUCUCUAUAAUCAAUACAUAAUCGUAGAGAACCAUCCUUCUUUUUCACAAAUAACACCGGUGCUCCCCAAGAAGAAACACUUGGUCUAAUAUACUUUUUAUCCAACAACUCUUGUAAUUGUACCUUGAGUUCCGCUAACUCGGUUGGUGCCAUCCUAUACGGUGUUUUCGAUACUGGUUGUGCCUCCGGAAUCAAUUCAAUACCAAACUCAACCUCUCUUUCGGGUGGCAAUCCUGGCAAAUCCUCGGGAAAAACAUCUAAAAACUCUCUAACCACAUGGGUAUUCUCUACUUUAUUUUUAACUUCCUCUUCACCAAUCACAUAAGCUAGAAACCCUUCACAUCCUUUUUUUAACAUCUUAUAAGCUUUCAGAACUGAUAUCAUGACACUAGGUUUUUCUAACCUGUCUCCUUUAAAAUAAACUUUCUUUUUAUCUGGGCCCCUUAAACAUAUUCGUUUUUUACUACAAUCCAAAUUGGCCUUAUACUUUGUCAACCAAUCCAUUCCCAAAAUUACUCCAAAAUCCUUCAAUUCUAAAGGUAACAAGUCUACUAGAAAAGUAUGUCCGCUAACUAUAAGGGUGCAAUCUUUAUAAACUUUGUUCACAAACAAAUUCCUACCGUUAGGGAGUUUUACUAGUAAUGCAUUAUCUAAACUUUGCGCAGGAGUAUUCAACUUAUCCACAUACUUCAAAUCCACAAAAGAAUGAGUUGAUCCAGAAUCAAAUAGAACAUGAACAUCUUGAGAACAAAGUUGGAGCGUACCUGACACCACAUCAUUCGAUAUUUCAGCAUCCUGAGUCGUCAUUGCGUAGGUUCUUGCCACUGCCCUAGGUGUUGAUUGCUGAAAAGGUCUUGAUGUGGUAGUUCUAUUUUCUUUAGUUUCAACUUCUUGCUUGACUCUUUUCUGUGGGCAGUCCCUUGAUACAUGUCCCGGUUUUCCGCAACUAUAGCAAGAAAUCACUUUCGGCCUUGGGCAUUGAGUCGCUAUAUGCCCCCUUUCUCCACAAUUAUAACACAACCCAUCAGCUCGGUAACAAAUGUCACCACCAUGCUUUAGUCCACACUUCUUACACUCCGGUAUGGUGGUCUUCCUAUCAUUUCCCGGGAAACUAUCUUUCUUUGUCUUCUGAAACUUCUUAUCAUCCUUCUUAUAUCCUGAAUUAUCACGCAGUUCUGUUUCUCUUCCUCUUUUCUUAUUGUUGAAGAAUUGGGUGCGAGCUUCAUACUCCCUUUCGGCAAUCCUAGCUUUUCCCACCAACUUAUCAAAUUGCUCUAGUUCCAACAAAGAGACCCUUUCUCUAAUUUGAGGUUUCAGUCCCUCCUGAAAUCUCUGACAUUUCCUAGCUUCAGUAUUAACCUGAUGAGGGGCAAACCUAGAAAGCUCCAAAAACUUCGACAAAUAUUCUGACACAGACAUUCCUUCUUGCUUCAAUCCUAAAAACUUCAUCUCCAUCUCAUUUUUCAUACACGCAGGAAAAUAUUUAUCAAAGAACAACUCCUUAAACCUCAUCCAAGUCAUUGUUGAACAAUCUUCCGUCUGUUUAACAGUGUCCCACCAAAAUACUGCUUCCCCCCUUAAAGAGUGUGUUGCGAAUUUCACCUUUUGUUCAUCCAAGCAUUCAGAAAUUUCUAUCACUUUCUCCAUUUCCUUAAUCCACGUAUUCGCAACAUGUGGAUCCAAAUCUCCUUUAAAUAUCGGGGGAUCAGCAUCCUUAAAGGUCUUGUAAGUACACCUUCGUUUAUUCUCACCUUCUCGCUCCGGAUUAUUUAUACGAUCUUGUUCUUCCACACGAUCAGUGUUUACCUUAAUUGUAUUCGUAUUUUCUUGAUCUCCCCUAAUAGUCUUCAACAUAUUCCUCAUUUCCUCCAAAACCAACAUCAUUUCAGGACUAAUUUGAACGCUAGGCCCAGCUCCACUACUAUUUUCUUCAUUCAUCGUUACCUAAAAAUCAUAUAAUAUAUAUUAGAACUCUGAUCUAAUCCACAAUUCAUACUAGCACGAUAGUAAGUACUAAACAUAUAGUUUAUUCCACACAUUCACAACUAAGGUCCACAUAUCCCUUAGACAUAUUCUCCUAACUUAAAAACACACUAGUCUAGAAUCUUAAUUCUACUUUCGCCGAUACUCGAACCUAUAGCUCUGAUACCACUUGUGGCGCCCCCGGCCCGGGAUGACCUCAGAAACCCGACCCGGGGAUGCCAAACAAACUAACCAACUCAAUAUAUGCUUACACAACCUUAACAACACUUCAUAAUAUAAAGUUCUUACAACGUCUUCAAGUUUGUAACUAAAGAUUACAUCAUAAGCUCCUAACUUAAACACAAACACAAGCAUAUUAUAUUAACAUCUUCCUCUACAAGCCUCUUGUUGCCACUAAAACCUUAGUUCAUCACAUUCUUAUCCUUUCCAGAACAUCCUUCUCCAAAAUUCUUUCCUGAGAAAGUUAGUGACAUAAAAGAGUGAGCUAUAAAGCUCAGUGAGCAUAUAUUGUACGAUUCAACUGAGGUUUAUCCAAGAACUAAAACAAUCUUUUGAUAAAAUAAUCAUCAAGAAUUUAUCAAUAUCAUCAAAGGUUCAUCACAGCAAAAUAGUUCUCACAAGAUUAAAACCGAGUAUUCAAGCAUGAUUAGUUCAUCAAUUCAUCAAGUUGGGAUCCCGGCCAGCUAAACAAUCGGUUUAGCUCUACUUCCAAUAAGGAAGCAUCAUCAUCAGUUCAUCAAGUAUCAAUGCAAGAAUACUCGUUUUUCAUCAGUAAAACAUCAUUUAAAUAUUAAACAUCAACAGCGAAUAAGUACAGUAUAUACUUACCUUAAAUCGCUUCUAAAUUUAAAUUCUUUCUCGAUCUCGAACCUCGGUACUAUUAACCCUUC